GGGGACAUCCGAUAAAAUUGGAACGAUACAGAGAAGAUUAGCAUGGCCCCUGCGCAAGGAUGACACGCAUAAAUCGAGAAAUGGUCCAAAUUUUUUUUUUAAUCCAAAACCUUACUUCUCGAUUGGCAGCUCUGCUUUGUUCGUGUCUGUCUUGUUUUUCUUCAAACACCUGUGCUGCAACAUGUCUCAGCUAUUGCCAACAGCAAGAGAGUAGAGUUCCAUUCGAGAGGUCUGUUUUUUUCAUUCCUUUUAUUGAAUUCUUGCCAUUUUCGUGUUGGAUUUUUUUGUUUGAUUGUUCUAAAAUUGGUUAAAACAGUUCGUAGUAAGUGAUAUUUCAAUUGGCUGUUAAUAGAUGUGGCCAGUAAUUCUUAUUCUUCUUCUUUAAUGUGAUUUUUGUUUAUAAAGAAAUCCAAUUCUUGCCCACCUUGUCUUCCUUCACUGGUAAAAGAAAAAUAAAUGAAAUUCUAAACUUAGUGAGUGGAUACGUCAGAUUGGUUUUGAAAAACUUGUAUUUAGUUUGCGAAGAUUUUAAGUGAACUCAGAAUUUUAGUAUAAUUUGGAUGUAGGGGAACUCAGAUGCAUAAGGCAAUUACUUCUUAUAAGUAAGAUGAUUCCUAUGUAAUUUAUGCAAAGAAAGCAAGUAUCCAAACACUAGGCUUUUAUGAAUUCAGAUCUAAGCUAAAAGUGUAGAUUAACCAACUUUUCUGUUAGUUAGUUUGUGAGAUUGUGGUUCUUAAAAAAGCAAUUUUAGCAACUCAAUCAUCAAAAAUCAAUAAUGAUACAAGAAAAAGAAAAGCAAAAGCAAACUAUGGGAAUUUCUUCCAUGAAGUAAUUUGUUGAUUGGUUUCUUCAUGUAUUUUUAAGAGUGUGAGAAGUGAAAGUUUCAUGUUUCCAUUCCCAUCCAUAAGCACAGUUGUAAAUCUUAGCAGCUUAGGCCAUGGCAUGUUUGAUAGCAUCUUAGCUUUUGGCCUUGACCAAUCUAGGCCUGAUCACAAGUCAGAAUCCACUUGUGAGCCUCAUGAGAUGAGGUAAUCUAUCAGGUUGGAAUUGAACUUAGUCGCUUUGUAACAAUGAUUUCUCUCUCUGAUUUCACAUUUUGCCUUGGAUGAUUUCUUAGCUGCUAGGAUCAGCACUGGAGAUUGCAGUAUGACACACUGCAGUAGGAUUUUGUGCUCCAAAAUGGUUUAGCAGCUCUAGUAUGAAUCCACUAUUCAGGACUGAAGCUCUUUGCCAUUCUGCAAAUUUAUGAAGGCUUUGUCUGUGAUUUAUUUAUUUAUUCAUUUAUUUUUAUUUCACCGUGGCUUUGCUUGCAAGAUAUUUUUCAGAUAACUCCUGUGUGGUUUUUGUUGAUAAUUAAUUAUCCAGAAAAUCAAGCACCUGGAGUUUUUUUAUUGGGUGUAAGGGGACUUAGAUGCACAAGGCCAAUUUCUUCUUAGAAGUAACAUGCUUCGUAUAUAAUUUAAUACAAAUACAGAAAGUAUCCUAGUUUAGACUGUUAUGAAUUGAGAUCUAAGCUAAUAGAGCAGCUUUAACUUCAUGUUUAAGCACAGUUGUAAGUACUAGGAGCCUAGCCAACCCAUUGCAAGUUUGAUAAUGUCUUAUUAUUGGGUCUUGACCAAUCUAGGCCUGACAAGUCAGAAUCCUCUUGUGGGCCUGAUGAGAUGAUUGAAGUUCUCUAUAUGCAAAUUUAUUAAUGCUUUGAGUGUCUUUGAUUUUUUUUUUUAUAACCUUUCUGUAGCUUUGUAACAAUGGUUUCUCUCUCUGGUUUCACCUUUUUGCCUUGCAAAAUUUCUACUACGCUCAGCACCGGAUAUUGCACUCAAAAGUUCUAUUGGUUUCAUUUUUUCCUUUAUUAAAUUUUUGCAGUAUUUCAUGCUGCAAUUACGAUUUUGUGCCCGAAAAUGGUUUAGCAGCUUUAAUAUGAAUCCAGGGGAGUAAGGAGCAGUGAGUUGGCGUUUGAUGCCGUGUAACUCGCAGAACUUGCUGAACUCAUUCGAUGUAAACUCGCCUCCUUUGUCUGUUCUAAACGUUUUGAGCUUACAUUCGGACUUGACUUUAAUAUGAGCUUUCAUUUUCUUGAAAGCACUAAAAACCUCAUCUUUUCUUUUGAGCAUUUCAAUCCAUAUAUAACGACUGUAAUCAUCCACGAGCAAGAGAAAAUACUUGUUUUUGCCGCAUGUGGUAGGUGAUGACGGCCCGCACAAGUCACCAUGCACGAGUUCUAGAGAUUUGGUUGCUUGAUACUCUCCUGCUUUCAGGAAACUCGUGCGAUGCUGUUUACUGAUCACACAUUGUUCACAGAUGUGCUUCACUGUUUCUAUCUCCGGUAAACCUUUCACCAUGUUUUCUUGUGCGAGCUUGCGUAAAGCUUGAUAGUUGAGGUGCCCGUAGAGUGCGUGCCAUAAGCAAGGCUUUUCAGACAACCUUGUCAGGUGGCACUUCGAUUUUGCUUGUGUCAUUCUAAUCGUGUAAAGGCGAUUUUCCGCUCUAUGCACCUUGGCUAUCAACUUGUCAUUUGCGUCAUAUUCUCUAAGAAUUUCUCCUUUCACCACCACUUUUGCUCCUGAUUCGUCGAGUUGACCAAGACUUAUAAUAUUGGAUCUUAAUCGAGGAAGAUAGUACACAUUCGUUAGUUCGAAAUGAUCUCGGUUCUUGCACUGAAACACUGAAGUGCCUCGGCCUUCUACCUUGACGACUGAACCAUCACCGAACCCGACAUUCCCUUUCAUUGAUUCAUCGAGAUUGGUUAAGGCUAGCUUGUUACCUGUCUUAUGGUUGCUUGCCCCCGUAUCAUAAGCUCGUCUGUGCCCUAGCUGUUACAUUGAUAGUUUGUUAAUAAGCACGUACCCACGUGCUCUGAAUAUUUUGAAUUGUUCAGUGUUUGUUUCCUUCAACCCGAGUCUUGCGCAAUGUGGCUUCAAGCUCGAAUUAAGUUUCAUUUUUCAGUUUGUAAUGGUUGUUAUAUUGAUUCAAGUAUAAAUAAGAACAAAAGGCCAAUCAAGAUUAUCGAUUAAGUUUGAAAAAUCUGAGCAAAAACCCUAACAUAAAAACAUUGCAGAAACUCAAAGUGCACUGUCUGGCUCACACCCUCGAGAGUUUGUUUUUAGAGUCUACGCGGUUCUCAUAAAGUCUGUCCUUUCAGCCAUUUCCACUUACACUAUGUCAAUUCUUAAGCAUCCCAGGAUUUUUUGUAAAAAGCUAAAUAGCAUUCUCUCAAACUUCUGGUGGGGAAGCGGUGAAGACUCGAGAAAAUGCAUUGGAUUAGUUAGAAAAAAGCUUUCAUUCCUAAAGCUAAAGGCGGCAUGGGUUUCAAGGAUUUCAAUAUUUUUAAUCUCGCUUGUCUUGGGAAAUAAUGUUGGAGACUUAUUCAGAAUCCGACAGCGGUUUGGGCUUGACUCAUCAAAAGUGUUUAUUUUCCAAGUACAGAUCUUUGGCAAGCUUCUCAUUCUAGAGAAGGCUCAGGGUAAACUUGUGAUUUUAAAUACGUUAUUAACUUUCUAAUUAUAUUCCUGAGCCGGCAAGUUUUAAUUGCAACUGUGUGUUGGUUUAUUUGGAAAGAAAGGAACAAGGCAAUCUUUAACCACAUGCCUCCAUAUCCUAUCUUUGUGGCUCGCAAGACCCUUUCUAGCUUUCAAGAGCUAGAGUUUGUAAGAGACAUAAGCCGGUCAAUAGUAUUGUUCAUAAUUCUGGUGUUUCUGUUUGGCAAGCUCCACCUUUUGAGAUGUUAAAGUUCAAUUCUGAUGCUGCUUAGAAAUCUCAUUCUAUGUUUGCUUCUAUUGCUAUUGUGGUUCGGAACUCUUAUGGUAGAAGUUUAUAUGGUAGAAUUUGUAAGGCUGUUGCCGAGUCUCCUGUUGUGGUAGAAGCUUUAGGGGUCCUAGAGGCUAUGAAACUUGCUUUAGAGAUGGGAGCUAAGAAUGUUUUUAUGGAAAUAGAUUCAAAAUUGGUACAUUCUGCUGUCAUUCAAAAUUGUUUUUAUGGAAAUAGAGGCUAUGAAAAAAUAGAUGGCGAUAAAACCUAAACUAGAUAAAAAUAGAAAAGGAAAGGCUCUCCUCUGUCCACAAAACAAAAGAGAUCACUGGGAUAAGAAGAAUUUUAAAAGCAGAAAGAGAAAAAAAAAAGACUAAAUUUAUGAUCUUAAUGUGUGCGUAUUAUGAAAAAUAAAAUACACAUUUACGUUUAAUAACAUGAGCAGCUUAGGUUAUUUAAAUCAUACGCUAAAUGGAUUAAACGUUAUUGUUUUUUAUUGAAUGUUAUACUCGAAUUAAUUUUUUACUUCUAAUCUUAUAAUUUUUAUUUAUUUUAUUUUUUUAUUAAAAAAAAUAAUUUUGUAUUAAUUUUCUACUUAUAUUUAUUUUAAAUAUAUUAACAAAAUAUUUGAAAUAGAAAUAUUUUAAAUAUUCACUUAGUCUCUGUUUUAUAUAAAAUAAUUUGUAUUUAGAAAAUAUUUUUUUUAAAAAUAUUUUUUAUAAAAAAUAACUUUUGUGAAAAAUAGAGAUAAAUUAUUUUUUAUUAUUCAAUUUUAAUUUUAAAAAUAAAAUUUAUUAAUAAAUUUAUAUAUAAAAAUUUUAAUAAGAAUCUUGAAAAUUUACUUUCUUUUUUAAAAUAAUUUCUCAUUAAAUUUUUUUCAUGGUUCCAGUUUUUUCAAAAAAAUAUAUUUUAUAUUUUCUAUUCUUUAGCAUAUUCAAAAAAUUUACUUAAUAAUAAAUAUUUUUCCAUAAAAAAUAAAUAAAUCAUUUUAAAAGAAAUAACUUUUUCUUUUGAUAUUCUUAUUAAAAUCUCUAUAUAUAAAUUUGUUAAUAAAUUUUAUUUUUUAAAUUAAAAUUAAAUAAUAAAAAAAUAAAUUAUUCCAUUGAAAAAUAUUUUUUAAAUAUAAUUUAUUUAUUUUUAAUAUAAUUUAUUUAAGGAAAAAUAUUUUUUGUAAAAAUUAUUUUUAAAUAUAAAUUAUUUUCUGUAAACGGAGGCUUAUAAUUAAAGAAAUUCCAUACACGUUGGAAAAAGAAGCAAGCAAUUUGACGGGCCGAAAAUGUAUUUGAUUUUGGGCAUGAAAGCCCAUUGAAUGUCCAUCGUAAAAUCACAAGUUUGCCUGCCCAGGGUUUGCGUUUCGAUUUCACUCCAUCCUCAAACAGACCAUACACGUUACACUCAGUACACACCGUAUUCUCUGUUCCUUGUGAUGAAUCUUGAUGCGAUGGGUAAGAUUCAUCUGAUGAUCAUGGGAUCUCUUUUAUCAACGGUUAAAACUUAUUGUCACUGUACCAUUAACCAGACUCUUCCUACUCAAGGACACACGCAAUCAUCGUGAACAAUUGAUCAAUUGCCCACCCAUAUUCACCUAUCGAGUGGAGCCACCUUAUAUUACCACAGACAGGUGUCGCACUUCCAAGCAUGAUCUACAGGUCACUGACCAUUCGUUGAGACACAUCAUCAGUGGAGGGCCCACGCGUAUGGUGUUAUCAAGGUGGCUUAAGAUGGGCAGCUAGUCAGGUGGUCUGGUUGAAAUCAAACUAAAAUCUAAACCCACAUCGUUCAUUGACUUCAUUUUAAUAUUCUUUAUAAUGCGAAGCGAAAUAUACAAUGCUUGUCCCUUCGGGGACAUCCGAUAAAAUUGGAACGAUACAGAGAAGAUUAGCAUGGCCCCUGCGCAAGGAUGACACGCACAAAUCGAGAAAUGGUCCAAAUUUUUUUUAAUCCAAAACCUUACUUCUCGAUUGGAGCUCUGCUUUGUUGGUGUCUGUCUUGUUUUUGUUCAAACGCCUGUGCUGCAACAUUUCUUAGCUAUUGCCAACAGCAAGGGAGUAGAGUUCCAUUCGAGAGGUCUGUUUUUUUCCUUCCUUUUAUUGAAUUCUUGUCAUUUUCGUGUUGGAUUUUUUUGUUUGAUUGUUCUAAAAUUGGUUAAAACAGUUCGUAGUAAGUGAUAUUUCAAUUGGCUGUUAAUAGAUGUUGCCAAUAAUUCUUAUUCUUCUUCUUUAAUGUGAUUUUUGUUUCUUGGGAUUUAUGUUCUUCCACAUGAAUGCGGGAAUAGAGGUUUGUCCUGGCUUGGAAAUUUAUCAAAUUGUAUUAGGAUCUUUUGCUUGCUAAACAUUGUUUGGAUGGUUUCUAUGUUCAUCCACAUGAAUGUGGUACUUUGCUUUCAUGUCAAUCUAUAAGUAAAGAAAUCCAAUUCUUACCCACCUUGUCUUCCUUCAUUGGUUAAAGAAAAAUAAAUGAAAUUCUAAACUUAGUGAGUGGAUACGCCAGAGUGGUUUUGAAAAACUUGCGUUUAGUUUGCGAAGAUUUUAAGGGAACUCAGAAUUUUAGUAUAAUUUGGAUGUAGGGGAACUCAGAUGCAUAAGGCAAUUACUUCUUAAAAAGAUUCCUAUGUAAUUUAUGCAAAGAAAGCAAGUACCCAAACACUAGGCUUUUAUGAAUUCAGAUCUAAGCUAGAAGUGUAGAUUAAUCAACUUUUCUGUUAGUUAGUUUGUGAGUUUGUGGUUCUUUAAAAAGCAAUUUUAGCAACUCAAUCAUCAAAAAUCAAUAGUGAUACAAGAAAAAGAAAAGCAAAAGCAAACUAUGGGAAUUUCUUCCAUGAAGUAAUUUGUUGAUUGGUUUCUUCAUGUAUUUUUAAGAGUGUGAGAAGUGAAAGUUUCAUGUUUCUAUUCCCAUCCAUAAGCACAGUUGUAAGUCUUAGCAGCUUAGGCCAUGGCAUGUUUGAUAGCAUCUUAGCUUUGGGGCUUGACCAAUCUAGGCCUGAUCACAAGUCAGAAUCCACUUGUGAGCCUAAUGAGAUGAUGUAAUCUAUCAGAUUGGAAUUGAACUUAGUCCCAUAUUGUUUAGUUAUGCAUAAUUGUAAAGCCUUGUAUAAAACAGAAACAAGAGGUUGUCCAGUAUGGCCCCUGCGUAAGGAUGACUGGCACAAAUCCAGAAAUGGUCCAAAUUUUGUUUUUAAACCUUUCUGAAGCUUUGUAACAAUGGUUUCUCUCUCUGAUUGCACAUUUUGCCUUGGAUGAUUUCUUAGCUGCUAGGAUCAGCACUGGAGAUUGCAUUCAAAAUUUCUUAGCUAUUGGUUUCUUUUUUUUUUUUCCUUUAUUAAAUGAUUGCAGUAUGACAUACUGCAGUAGGAUUUUGUGCUCCAAAAUGGUUUAGCAGCUCUAGUAUGAAUCUACUAUUCAGGACUGAAGCUCUUUGCCAUUCUGCAAAUUUAUGAAGGCUUUGUCUGUGAUUUAUUUAUUUAUUCAUUUAUUUUUAUUUUACUCUCGCUUUGCUUGCAAGAUAUUUUUCAGAUAACUCCUGAGUGGUUUUUGUUGAUAAUUAAUUAUCCAGAAAAUCAAGCACCUGGAGUUUUUUUAUUGGGUGUAAGGGGACCUAGAUGCACAAGGCCAAUUUCUUCUUACAAGUAACAUGCUUCCUAUAUAAUUUAAUACAAAUACAGAAAGUAUCCUAGUUUAGACUGUUAUGAAUUGAGAUCUAAGCUAAUAGAGCAGCUUUAACUUCAUGUUUAAGCACAGUUGUAAGUACUAGGAGCCUAGCCAACCCAUUGCAAGUUUGAUAAUGUCUUAUUAUUGGAUCUUGACCAAUCUAGGCUUGACAAGUCAGAAUCCACUUGUGGGCCUGAUGAGAUGAUGUAAUCCAUCCAUGUUGUAAAGUCAUCUAGUUGGAAUUGAACUUAGUCCCACAUCGUUUAGUUAUGUAAAGUUGAAAGCCUUUAUAAAAAUAAAACAGAAAUAAAUGGUUGUCCCUUCGGGGACAUCCGAUAAAAUUUGAAUGAUACAAAGAAGAUUAGCAUGGCCCCUGCGCAAGGAUGACACGCACAAAUCGCAAAAUGGUCCAAAUUUUUUUUUAAUCCUCCAGAUUUUUGUACCCUAGCCUUUGCUGAUUUUCAAAUGGUUUCUCUUCUGAUUUUACAUUUUUCCCUGCAAAAUUUAUUGGCAUUAAGAUCAAUACUGGACAUCAAAUCCAAAAAUUCUGUUGUUAUUUCCUUUCCUUUAUUAAAUUCUUGUUAUAUUUCACAGUGCAAUUAGGAUUUUGUUCUCCAAAAUGGUUUAGGAGCUCUAAUAUGAAUCUAUGAUUGAAGCUCUCUAUAUGCAAAUUUAUUAAUGCUUUGAGUGUCUUUGAUUUUUUUUUUACAACCUUUCUGUAGCUUUGUAACAAUGGUUUCUCUCUCUGGUUUCACCUUUUUGCCUUGCAAAAUUUCUACUACGCUCAGCACGGGAGAUUGCACUCAAAAGUUCUAUUGGUUUCUCUUUUUCCUUUAUUAAAUUUUUGCAGUAUUUCAUGCUGCAAUUAAAAUUUUGUGCCCAAAAAUGGUUUAGCAGCUCUAAUAUGAAUCCAGGGGAGUAAGGAGCAGUGAGUUGGCGCUUGAUGCCGUGCAACUCGCAGAAAUGUAUACUUGCCUCCGUGGUCUGUUCUAAACGUUUUGAGCUUACAUUCGGACUGGACUUCAAUAUGAGCUUUCACUUUCUUGAAAGCACUAAAAACCUCAUCUUUUCUUUUGAGCAUUUCAAUCCAUAUAUAAUGACUGUAAUCAUCCACGAGCAAGAGAAAAUACUUGUUUCUGCCGCAUAUGGUAGGUGAUGACGGCCCGCCCAAGUCACCAAAAACGAGUUCCAGAGAUUUGGUUGCUUGAUACUCUCCUACUUUCAGGAAACUCGUGCGAUGCUGCUUAUUGAUCACACAUUGUUCACAGACGUGCUUCACUGUUUCUAUCUCCGGUAAACCUUUCACCAUGCUUUCUUGUGCGAGCUUGCGUAAAGCUAGAUAGUUGAGGUGCCUAUAGCGUGCGUGCCAUAAGCAAGGCUUUUCAGACAACCUUGUCAGGUGGCACUCCAAUUUUGCUUGUGUCAUUCUCAUCGUGUAAAGGCGAUUUUCCGCUCUAUACACCUUGGCUAUCAACCUGUCCUUUGCGUCAUAUUCUCUCAGAAUUCCUCCUUUCACCACCAAUUUUGUUCCUGAUUCGUCGAGUUGACCGAGGCUUAUAAUAUUGGAUCUUAAUCAAGAAAUGUAGUACACGUUUGUUAGUUUGAAAUGAUCUCCGUUCUUGCACCGAAACACUGAAGUGCCUCGGCCUUCUACCUUGACGACUGAACCAUCACCGAACCUGACAUUCCCUUUCAUUGAUUCAUCGAGAUUGGUUAAGGCUAGCUUGUUACCUGUCAUAUGGUUGUUUGCCCCCGUAUCAUAAGCUCGUUCGUGCCCUACCUGUUACGUCGAUAGUUUGUUAAUAAGCACGUACCCACAUACUCUGAAUAUUUUGAAUUGUUCAGUGUUUGUUUCCUUCAACUCGAGUCUUGCGCAAUGUGGCUUCAAGCUCGGAUUAAGUUUCAUUUUUCAGUUUGUAAUGGUUGUUACAUUGAUUCAAGUAUAAAUAAGAACAAAAGGCCGAUCAAGAUUAUCGGUUAAGUUUGAAAAAUCUGAGCAAAAAACCUAAUACAAAAAUACUGCAGAAACUCAAAGUACACUGUUUGGCUCACACCCUCGGGAGUUCGUUUUUAGAGUCUACACAGUUCUCAUAAAGUCUGUCCUUUCAGCCAUUUCCACUUACACUAUGUCAAUUCUUAAGCAUCCCAGGAGUUUUUGUGAAAAGCUAAAUAGCAUGCUCUCAAGCUUCUGGUGGGGAAGUGGUGAAGACUCGAGAAAAUGCAUUAGAUUAGUUAGAAAAAAGCUUCCACUCCUAAAGCUAAAGGCGGCAUGGGUUUCAAGGAUUUCAAUCUUUUUAAUCUCGCUUGUCUUGGGAAAUAGUAUUGGAGACUUAUUCAGAAUCCGACAGCGGUUUGGGCUUGACUCAUCAAAGGUCUUUAUUUUCCAAGUACAGAUCUUUGGCAAGCUUCUCAUUCUAGAGCAGGCUCAGGGUAAACUUGUGAUUUUAAAUACGUUAUUAACUUUCUAAUUAUAUCCCUGAGCAGACAAGUUUUAAUUGCGACUGUGUAUUGGUUUAUUUGGAAAGAAAGGAACAAGGCAAUCUUUAACCACAUGCCUCCAGAUCCUAUCUUUGUGGCUUGCAAGACCCUUUCUAGUUUUCAAGAGCUAGAGUUUGUAAGAGACAUAAGCCGUUCAGUAGUGUUGUUCAUAAUUCUGGUGUUUCUGUUUGGCAAGCUCCACCUUUGGGAAUGUUAAAGUUCAAUUCUGAUGCUGCUUGGAAAUCUUAUUCUAUGCUUGCUUCUAUUGCUAUUGUGGUUCGGAACUGUUAUGGUAGAAGUUUAUAUGGUAGAAUUGGUAAGUGGUUGUUGCCGAGUCUCCUGUUGUGGUAGAAGCUUUAGGGGUCCUAGAGGCUAUGAAACUUGCUUUAGAGAUGGGAGCUAAGAAUGUUUUUAUGGAAAUAGAUUCAAAAUUGGUACAUUCGGCUGUCAUUUAAAAUUGUUUUUAUGGAAAUAGAGGCUAGCAACCUGCUGAAGCUGCUGUCCAAGGGACACAGCACAUACUGAAUCUGCCGGGCUUUUUGCAAAAUAAAGUUAAAAAAAAAAAAUAUUUCUUAAAUCCUGGUGCGCGAAAAAAUAUUUCUUAAACCAAGGUGAAUCGGUCUUCUACCGCAUUUUAUAAGUGCGGUAUUUUAUAAGUGCGGUAAGCUUUACCGCAUUUAUAAAAUGCGGUAGAGAGUCAUUGAAACAAAAUUAUAAUUUUUUUAAAUAAAAAAAAUUCUACCGCACUUUUAAAGUGCGGUAGAAUUUUUAAUAUAUUAUUUUUUAAUAAUUAAAAAUAUAUUGGCAGAGAGGGAGGGCAGAGAAAAAGUCCUCUACCGCACGAGAAUAUCAAAAAGUUAAAUUAUUUUAAUUUAUUUUAAUUUUAAAAAAAAUAAAAAUUAUACAUAAUUUUUAAUUAUUUAAUUUAUUUUUUUAUAAAAUAAAUAGAAACAUUUAUAUUUUAUAUUUUAAGUUGAUUGUUGUUCAGAAAAAGAACACUACCGCACUUUUAAAGUGCGGUAGAAGAGAGAGAAUAUAAAAAAGUUAAAUUAUUUUAAUUUAUUUUAAUUUUAAAAAAAUAAAAAUUAUGUAUAAUUUUUUAAUUAUUUAAUUUAUUUUCUCAUAAAAUAAAUAAAAAUAUUUAUAUUUUAAAUUGAUCAAAAUAUAUUUUUUAUUUUAUUAGUUGAAAUAUAUAUAUAUAUAUAUUUUAAUAAAUAAUUAUUAAUUAUUAUAUUUUUCAUUAUUAUAAUACCGCACUUUUAAAGNNNNNNNNNNNNNNNNNNNNNNNNNNNNNNNNNNNNNNNNNNNNNNNNNNNNNNNNNNNNNNNNNNNNNNNNNNNNNNNNNNNNNNNNNNNNNNNNNNNNNNNNNNNNNNNNNNNNNNNNNNNNNNNNNNNNNNNNNNNNNNNNNNNNNNNNNNNNNNNNNNNNNNNNNNNNNNNNNNNNNNNNNNNNNNNNNNNNNNNNNNNNNNNNNNNNNNNNNNNNNNNNNNNNNNNNNNNNNNNNNNNNNNNNNNNNNNNNNNNNNNNNNNNNCUUCCCUGCUCCCCAGCUCCCAUCUUCUUCCCGCUCCCCAGCUCCCCAUCUUCCCUGCUCUCCAUCUUCUUCCCGCUCCCCAUCUUCUUCCCUGCCCCUUCUUCCCUGCUCCACCUCCCCUCCCUGCUCCAUAUUUCCUUUUUUUCCAAGUUUCGCUCCUUCUUUUUUUUUUUAAAUUUUAUAUAUAAAUAAAUAAUUAUAAUUAAUAUAAUAUAUUUAAUAUAAAAUAGAUAAUAUGAUGAAUUCUUCAUUUUACGUAUUACCGCACUUUUAAAGUGCGGUAAUACAUAAAUUAAAUUAUUAAUUUAAUUAUUAAAAAUUAUAAAAAUUUUUAAUUAUUAUAAAAUUUAAUAUUCUACCGCACUUUUAGUGCGGUAGAAUUUUUAAUAUAUUUUUUUAAUAUUUAAAAAAUCUACCGCACUUUAUCAGUGCGUUAGAAUUUUUUUAUUUAAAAAAAUUAUAAUUUUGAUUUAACUGCUCUCUACCGCAUUUUAUAAGUGCGGUAAAGCUUACCGCACUUAUAAAAUGCGGUAAAGGACUGAUUCACCCUGUUCUGAGAAAUAUUUUCUCACGGAUCAGGGUUUAAGAAAUAUUUUUUUUUUUUAACUUUAUUUUACAAAAAGCCCGAAUCUACCAUAACAAAACCUGAAGUUGCUGUUCAAACAGAACCAGCAACAUACACUGUUAAAACAGAACCGAAUCAGCAACCGAAGAAAUAGCACAGAACAUUGCGGUGUUUGCCCAAACAGCCUCUGGGAUGGCUCUCUUUCAUGGCGAUGAGGAUAAUUUGUUUAAAAAAUUUGCUUUCAAGAUCUAUCAUUAUUUUUGUUUAUUUAAUAUUUUAUAAUAUCAUCAACUAACAAAAUAAUUAUUCUAAUAAAAAGUAAUAUGCCCUUUAAAUUUAAUUUAGAAUUUUUUAAAAGAAAAUACUUAUAAUUUUUAUGUAUGUCUUAAAAAUUUUGAUACAGCUAUUAGUGAUAUAGUAAUAAUAGCUAUAGUAAUAAGAGGAAAAAGAUAUCAAUUUAUAAAAUUUCUGCAGCCACACAUGUAGAAUUAUUCUUAAUUCAUCAUAAGCAUGAAUAUUAUAUGAAUCAUAAACAUAAAAUUCAUCUAACACCCUAAUAAUAAAUCUUGAAUAAAUUACAUUUCACAAAUAUAGAAAAAUAUAUUUGAUGUAAAAUUAAUUGAUCCUUCUUAAUUCAAUAAAAGAGAGCUACGAAUUUGAAUAAAUUAAUUUUUCUUUUGACCCUUUUAAUUUUAUAUAAUCUUUAGUGAUGGAGACUUUCUAAUAGACAUUAUCUUAAUAUCUGGAAUGAAAACUUUGUUUGCCUUUGAGAAAGACGAAAAAGAAAGAAAAAUUUUAAAAGCAGUAGAAAAAAAAAGAGUAAAUUUAUGAUCUUGGUGUGUGCGUAUUAUGUAUACUAUGAAAAAUAAAAUACACAACUUUGGUUAUUUAAAUCAUUCGCUAAAUGGAUUAAACGUUAUUGUUUUUCAGUUGAAUUAUUUGAAAUGCUGAAGAGCCAUCUGUUAUUUUAUAAAAUUUACAAAUUUUAAAUUUUUUAUUAAAUGUUAUACUCUGAAUUAAUUUUUUACUUUCAAUCUUAUAAUUUUUUUAUCCCUUUUACAUAUAUUAAAAAAAAAAAAUUUUAUUCACUUUCUAAUUAUAUCUAUUUUAAAUAUAUUAAUAAAAUAUUUUAAAUAUUCACUUAAACUCUAUUUAUUUAUAAAAAAUAACUUGUAUUUUAAAGAUUUCCAAAACAUAAUACUAUUAUGAUCAUGGUAUUUUAAAUUAUGUAUCAAUACUUAAAAAUUUCUAUUUGGAUGAUUUUUAUUUUUAUUAUUAUAUUUUAAUAUUUAAAUUUUAUUUGUUUCAUAAAAAAUAUUUUUUAUAUUUUUUGGUGUUUGAAGCAUUCAAAAAAUUUAGUUAAUAAAAAUUAUUGUUCUGAUUAAAUAAAAAAAUUAAAUAUUUUAAAGAAAAUAACUUAAAAUAAAAGUUAUUUCCGAACAUUUGAUAAAAAUAUCAAAUUCUAUUUAUACAAAUUUUUAAUAAAUUUUAAUUUUAAAUUUUUACAUUUAAAUUAAUAUUAAAUAAUAAAAAAAAUAUCUCAAUACUUUUUAUAAAAAAUAUUUUUUAAAUAUAAAUUAUUUUCUGCAAAUAAAUAGAGAUUUAUAAUUAAAAGAAUUUUCAUUUAUAUUAUACACGUUGGAAAAAGAAGCAAGCAAUUUGAUGGACCGAAAAAUAAUCUAGACCGAUGUUGGGCCGAAAAUGUAUUUGAUUUUGGGCAUGAAAGCCCAUUAAAUGUCCAUCAAAUACAUUAGGUAAAAUCACAAGUUUGCCUGCUCAGGGUUUGCGUUUCGAUUUCACUCCAUCCUCAAACAGAUCAUACACAUUACACGCAGUACACACCGUAUUCUCUAUUCCUUGUGAUGAAUCUUGAUGCGUUGGAUUCAUCUGAUGAUCAUGGGAUCUCUUUUGUCAACGGUUAAAACUUAUUGUCACUGUACCAAUAACCAGACUCUUCCUACUCAAGGACACACGCAAUCAUCUUGAACAAUUGAUCAAUUGCCCGCCCAUAUUCACCUAUCGAGUGGGGCCACCUUAUAUUACCACAGACAGGUGUCGCACUUCCAAGCAUGAUCUACAGGUCACUGACCCUUGGUUGAGACACAUCAUCAGUGGAGGGCCCACGCGUAUGGUGUUAUCAAGGUGGCUUAAGAUGGCCAGAUAGUCAGGUGGUCUGGUUGAAAUCAAACUAAAAUCUAAACCCACAUCGUUCAUUGAGUUCAUUAUAAUAUUCUUUAUAAUGCGAAGCGAAAUGUGCAACGCUUGUCCCUUCGGGGACAUCCGAUAAAAUUGGAACGAUACAGAGAAGAUUAGCAUGGCCCCUGCGCAAGGAUGACACGCACAAAUCGAGAAAUGGUCCAAAUUUUUUUUUGAUCCAAAACCUUCUCGAUUGGCAGCUCUGCUUUUUUCGUGUCUCUCUGGUUUUUGUUCAAACACCUGUGCUGCAACAUUUCUUAGCUAUUGCCAACAGCAAGGGAGUAGAGUUCCAUUCGAGAGGUCUGUUUUUUUUUCCUUCCUUUUAUUGAAUUCUUGUCAUUUUCGUGUUGGAUUUUUUUGUUUGAUUGUUCUAAAAUUGGUUAAAACAGUUCGUAGUAAGUGAUAUUUCAAUUGGCUGUUAAUAGAUGUUGCCAAUAAUUCUUAUUCUUCUUCUUUAAUGUGAUUUUUUUUCUUGGGAUUUAUGUUCUUCCACAUGAAUGCGGGAAUAGAGGUUUGUCCUGGCUUGGAAAUUUAUCAAAUUGCAUUAGGAUCCUUGUGCUUGCUAAACAUUGUUUGGAUGGUUUCUAUGUUCAUCCACAUGAAUGUGGUACUUUGCUUUCAUGUCAAUCUAUAAGUAAAGAAAUCCAAUUCUUACCCACCUUGUCUUCCUUCAUUGGUUAAAGAAAAAUAAAUGAAAUUCUAAACUUAGUGAGUGGAUACGCCAGAUUUUGUUUUGAAAAAUUGUAUUUAGUUUGCGAAGAUUUUAAGUGAACUCAGAAUUUUAGUAUAAUUUGGAUGUAGGGGAACUCAGAUGCAUAAGGCAAUUAAUUCUUGUAAGUAAGAUGAUUCCUAUGUAAUUUAUGCUAGCAAGUAUCCAAACACUAGGCUUUUAUGAAUUCAGAUCUAAGCUAAAAGUGUAGCUUAACCAACUUUUCUGUUAGUUAGUUUGUGAGAUUGUGGUUCUUAAAGGCAAUUUUAGCAACUCAAUCAUCAAAAAUCAAUAAUGAUACAAGAAAAAGAAAAGCAAAAGCAAACUAUGGGAAUUUCUUCCAUGAAGUAAUUUGUUGAUUGGUUUCUUCAUGUAUUUUUAAGUGUGAGAAGUGAAAGUUUCAUGUUUCUAUUCCCAUCCAUAAGCACAGUUGUAAGUCUUAGUAGCUGAGGCCAUGGCAUGUUUGAUAGCAUCUUAGCUUUAGGCCUUGACCAAUCUAGGCCUGAUCACAAGUCAGAAUCCACUUGUGAGCCUAAUCAGAUGAUGGAAUCUAUCAGGUUGGAAUUGAACUUAGUCUCUUUUUAACAAUAGUUUCUCUCUCUGAUUUCACAUUUUGCCUUGGAUGAUUUCUUAGCUACUAGGAUCAGCACUGGAGAUUGCAUUCAAAAUUUCUUAGCUAUUGGUUUCUUUUUUUUCCUUUAUUAAAUGAUUGCAGUAUGGCACACUGCAGGAGUUUGUGCUCCAGAAUGGUUUAGCAGCUCUAGGAUGAAUCUACUAUUCAGGACUGAAGCUCUUUGCCAUUCUGCAAAUUUAUGAACUCUUUGUCUGUGAUUUAUUUAUUUAUUCAUUUAUUUUUAUUUCACUGUCGCUUUGCUUGCAAGAUAUUUUUUCAGAUAACUCCUGUGUGGUUUUUGUUGAUAAUUAAUUAUCCAGAAAAUCAAGCACCUGGAGUUUUUUUAUUGGGUGUAAGGGGACUUAGAUGCACAAGGCCAAUUUCUUCUUAGAAGUAACAUGCUUCCUAUAUAAUUUAAUACAAAUACAGAAGGUAUCCUAGUUUAGACUGUUAUGAAUUGAGAUGUAAGCUAAUAGAGCAGCUUUAACUUCAUGUUUAAGCACAGUUGUAAGUACUAGGAGCCUAGCCAACCCAUUGCAAAUUUGAUAAUGUGUUAUUAUUGGGUCUUGACCAAUCUAGGCCUGACAAGUCAGAAUCCACUUGUGGGCCUGAUGAGAUGAUGUAAUCCAUCCAUGUUGUGAAGUCAUCUAGUUGGAAUUGAACUUAGUCCCACAUCGUUUAGUUAUGCAAAGUUGAAAGCCUUUAUAAAAAUUCAACAGAAACAAAUGGUUGUCCCUUCGGGGACAUCCGAUAAAAUUGGAACGAUACAGAGAAGAUUAGCAUGGCCCCUGCGCAAGGAUGACACGCACAAAUCGAGAAAUGGUCCAAAUUUUUUUUUAAUCCUCCAGAUUUUUGUACCCUAGCCUUUGCUGAUUUUCAAAUGGUUUCUCUCCUGAUUUUACAUUUUUCCCUGCAAAAUUUAUUGGCAUUAAGAUCAAUACUGGACAUCAAAUCCAGAAAUUCAGUUGUUAUUUCCUUUCCUUUAUUAAAUUCUUGUUAUAUUUCACAGUGCAAUUAGGAUUUUGUGCUCCAAAAUGGUUUAGGAGCUCUAAUAUGAACCUAUGAUUGAAGCUCUCUAUAUGCAAAUUUAUUAAUGCUUUGAGUGUCUUUGAUUUUUUUUUUACAACCUUUCUGUAGCUUUGUAACAAUGGUUUCUCUCUCUGGUUUCACCUUUUUGCCUAGCAAAAUUUCUACUACGCUCAGCACUGGAGAUUGCAUUCAAAAGUUCUAUUGGUUUUUCUUUUUCCUUUAUUAAAUUUUUGCAGUAUUUCAUACUGCAACAAUUUUGUGCCCCAAAAUGGUUUAGCAGCUCUAAUAUGAAUCCAGGAGUGAAUCUCUUUCCCAGUCUACAAAUUUAUCAAUGCUUUUUCUUUGAUUUUUUUAAUUUUUAUUUUACUGUCAUUUUGCUUGCAAGAUAAUUAUAGAUGACUACUCUGUAGUUGUGAGAGUUAAUUAUCCAGGAAGUCAAGAACCUGGAGUUUGUGAAGAUUUUUAUUGAAUGCUGAAUUUUACAUAAGAUGGGUACAAGGGAAGUCAGAUGCACAAGUCCAAUUGCUUCUUACAAGUAACAUGAUUCCUAUAUAGUUUAAUGCAUAUAAAGAAAAUAUUCAAGUUUAUAGUAUUAUGAGCUGAUAUCUAAACUAAUAAAUUAAUCUCUUUAUUUAUUAAAUUUUAAUAUUUUACGUGUGGAAAAUAAUAAAAUAAAAAUAAAAUAAGAAAAUAAGUAUUUAUUUCUAAAAUUAUAAUAUCUAGAAACCAAUUUGUAAGAGUAUAGGAAUAAAUUAUAACUAAAGAGACUAUUUUAUUAUAAAAUAAAACUUUAUAAUUAAAAUUAUAAAUAUCUGAACUAAAAUAUAUGAAUCAUCCUUUUGGGUAUCAAAUUAAAACAACACAAACCCCAUAUGAAUCAUCAUUCAACAUAGAGGAGUGAUGAGUUUGGACUUUUGUUUAAUUUUAAACUGCUUUAAGAUAAGGGUUUUGGACUUUUGUUUUUUUUGUUUUUUUGAAUUAGAGUGAGUUAGGUUUGAUUUAAAUUUAAUAAAAUUAAUUUUUUAUUUUUUAUUUUAAAUAUUAUUUCAUUAAAAUAUUUUUAUACUUAUAAAAUUAAAAUAAAAUUAAUUUUUUUAAUCAUUAUCUCAUCCUUAAUUAGGGAAAUUGAAUAAUAUAAUUAUUGUUAAUUGGGAGUAAGAAGUUAAGUUGUCCUAAUACCUAUUCGGCUUUGGAAACGAGCCUUGAAAUGAUUAAAUGGCCUUUUGGAUAACUAGGAGCCACCCUUCAGAAACAAAACCAUGUUCCAUCUAAAGUUGGAUAAGAACAAACCUUUUGUUGCAUCUCUCAAUUAUCAAAUAAAUUUUUUAAAAAAUAAUAAAAAUGAAAUUACAAGAGUAUGCUCAUCUAUAUAUUUGGAAAAUAUUAAAAAUAUUUUCCUUUUAAUUAGUGAAUUUUUUUUUAUAAAAAAUAAUUAUUUUCAUAAAAUAUCUCUAGAAAGCGUCUUACGUUGUACAACAAAUUACUCUAUAAUUUUUCUUAACUUAGUAUCUCAUUCAUAAUUUCAUCCAUGUGUCUUUUUCAGGGACCCUUUCUUGGAUGAUGUGGGUGGUGAUGGUCGGACUGUGGAGGCCAACCUGGAUGCUACAUUGUAUGUAUAUCCUAACGAAUUUAGACGAUUUAAUAAAAAUAAAAUAAAUGUUAAAUCUCUAUUUGUUCUUUCAACUUUAUUUUAAAGUUAAUCAAAUUUUUUCACGUAUUAAUUAGAAAGAUAAUAAAAUAAAACCAUAAGAAUUAAAAUAAUAAUUUUUUUAAUUGAUAUUUAAUGUUAAAUAGCUUCUAUUUAUUUUCUUUUAUAUUGUUGUUUGAUAUGAAGUAAAACAAAAUUUUAACUUUUUUUCACUCUUAUUUUUAUAUUUUUAUAUGAUAGUAGUGUAAAUAAAUAAAAGAAUUAAAUAGUUAAUCAUUUGAAAAAAUUUGAAUUAUUUAAUAUAUUAUUGAAAAUAAAGAAAUUAAAUAAUUAAUUUUAUUAAAUUAUUAAGAUUAAAUAAUUAAUUUUAUUAAAUUAUUGAGAUUAAAUAAUUAUAGAUUAAUAAUUUGAAUGUGAAGAAUUAAUUAAGAAAGUGAAUUUUCAAAUUAAAGGCAAAACUGAUGUAUAUUGUUUUUUUUUUUUCAANNNNNNNNNNNNNNNNNNNNNNNNNNNNNNNACAAAAAUGGGAAAUUGGCAGUUCCAAAAUCCAGGUAAGUUUUUAUUAACCUUGGACGCCUAAAGUGCAUGAGACAGAGGGUGACGACAUCGUGUCCACAUGCCAGCACACAACAGUUCCCUAUUCCCAUCAUGUCCCCAUAAAAAGACGGACGAUAUAUUAAAAACGAUAUCACAACGCUCAUAAAAACGACAAUUUCUCGCUUCGCAAUGCAACGGUCAAUAACCCCUCAUUAUCUUGGACUUGGAAAAAAAAAACAAUCCAACGGUCUAUAAACCUUUCAACGUUUCGCCUUCAAAAGCAACGUACGGUUAUCUUUGUCACAGUUUCUCUCUUUACCCUUCGAAAGCAACAAACGAUUUAUUCUUAUCCCGUGACUCGUGAGUUUAAGCAUAUUUUGAUAAACUAGUAAUAAGAUUAUUUUAAUAGGAUAAUUAUUCUGAAAUCUAAAAUUAUCCUCUUAAAAAAUCAACAAAUUUCAAGAUCCAAUGAGUCCAUUGUGAUCCACUUUGUCAGAUUUAUAUUAUUUAAAUUUCAUAUUAUUUAAUUUGGGAUAUAAAUAAAUGGGAUAGCCUUAUCCCAUUGCCAAGAUUAGCAUCUACCAAAUAUUCCUCACUCACUUCCCCUAUGCUUUGCUUCCCCUUUCACCAGCAUCUCUAUUUGGUUUUUGGGUCCUAUUGCUUCUUCUUUCUUUCUUUUUUUUUCUUUUUUUUAAGUUUAAAGCUAAUCUCUCUUUUAAUUAUAUAACCCAAUAAAGCAAAGUGUUUAGAAAUAUAAAAUCCAUCUAAAUUAUGCCAUUAAAUUUCUCUUUUUGAGAUUUUCUCCUAAAAUUCAUGAAUUUUCUUAUCGUUGUGCUUCCUACACCAAUUGGACAAUGAUGGCAAUUGUAGCUUGUGGCUUAAAUUGACAAAUGUUUUUGGUUAUUGUAUGUUUAGAUGUAUGCACGUUAUGUUUGAUGAAAUGCUUGAAUGAAUUUGAAUUGUUUUUUUCAAACCCUAAUACCCAUAUAAUAAAUAACUAAAUGAUGAAUUUAUUAACACAGUGAAUUGCUAAUUUAAUAACAAAAACUCAUUCAAACAAAUACCAUCACUAAAUUAAUUAAAAAAAACAGUUGAUAAUAAAAGUGCUAGACUAGAUCUCAAUUUAAUUCUAAAAUUUAUGAAUUGAAAUUGAACUUUCUAAAUUUCAACUGGACUUAGUUUAAUUACACUUUUAGAUAGCAGCCCUGCUGACACUAGCUAAGCCCCUUUAGUGUGGCUUGUUCCAACAAUUUUUCUCAUUCUUACUGCCUUGAAGGUGCUUAGGAUAAAUUUUCUUUUAGUUGGGAUGAAUUUUCUUUCUGUCUUUGGUAUGGCUCAUUUUGUAAGAAAAUAAUUAAAAUAAAUUUAUAUAUAAAUUUAUUUUCUUUAAAAAUAAAAAUAUAUAAGUUAAUAAAUAAAUUAAUUCUUUUAUUUCAAAUAAACAACUUAAUAAAAAAAUUUGAAUUAAAUUAAAUUUAUAUGAAAUUUUUUAUUUCAAACAAGGGUCGAUGAAUUUCCCUGCUGAAGACCUUUGUGAUUUCUAUUGAAGUUCCGGCAGCUGCUUACGGGAUGUCGUGGUGAUGUUGCAAUCAGGUUGUCAAUAGUGCUGCGUCGUCCCGGUUUUCUAGUUCAUCUUCAAAUUUUUUGCUGUACAAGUAUGGGCUGGAUGCAGAGGAGAGCAUUUUUCAAUUUAAACUGAAAAAUUGAAUUAAAUCAAAUCUAAAUUUUUAAUUGAUUUGAUUAUUUGAUUUAUUUAGUUUAAUUCAGUUAGUAAUUUUAAAAAAUUUUUAUUUUCAAUUGGUUAAUUAAUUAAAAAUCAUGAAAAAAAUAAAUCGAACCGCUCAUAACACAAUAAAAACCCUAACUUAUAAAAACCUUAACUUUUAUCUUCCUUUACUAUCGCGCACAUUUCUCUCCUCUCUGUUCCCCGACCCUCUCUCUCCUCUUUAACCUCAACUCUCUCACUUUGUAAAAUCAUUCAGAAUCAAAGAAUCCCUGUUCUUCUUCUUCCUCAACUUAUUCUAAUGUUUCUUAUUUCUUUAAAAAAAUUCUUUAUAUCUCUCCACUCAGCUUCAACUCUUCUUAAUGAUUUCUUGCUCCCACGAUGAAUAUGAUCGUUGCUGCCACGAUGAAGAUGGAUGAUUGUUGCCACAAUGAAGACAACGGCUACUCCUCAGACCAUAACUGUAUUUAUUAAGGUAAUAAUAAAAAAAAUCUAAAUAAUGCAACUAUUUUGUAAUGAAUAAAGUAAAAUAAAGUUACCACUAUUCCGAUUGAUGUACCUUUUGAGACGUUCAAUAUACAAUUCGUUUAUAUCAUUCCAUGUACUAUGAAUGGAAAUAUAAAGAUUGAGUAAGAAGAAUACUGUUCAUUAUCCGUUGAUGUCUGAAUUUUCAAAUUAUUGGAUAGUUUCAUGCAUAUUAUCUGUUUGACGUUACGGGGAUAGAAUGAAUUGAGUUAACCCUAACGCAGUAAGUGAUGCUAUUAUAAUAUGAAAAUAAAUAAGUGGCACAACCGAUCGCUAUAUUUACUUUCUUUGCAGACAAUAAUCUGACAUAACAUCUGCCAAAUUUUCAUAAUAUGACUCUUACAUAAACUGUGUAGAUAAAAUAAUUUAAAAGGUUAAACUUUAUUAUUUUGAAUUGAUAUGAAUUUAAAGGGUUAGACUCUUCGGCUUUUAUCCGUCUAAUUGAUACUGAAAUUACACUAAUAUAUAUAUUGUAAUUUUGAUAAUUGUUCUAGCAUUAUUCUAACUAUACGGUAUAUUAUUUUGAAUUAAUAACAUAAUAUUAAUUAUAAUAAUAGCGAUAAAAUAAAUGUGUAUUAAAUUAAAAUAAAAUACUAACAGACUGUCCAUUGGUAUAUUUGACAUUGGAUUCAUCUGAGUUAUGAUUGACACUAUUAUUUUUAUUAUAUCCUAAACCCAAAUCUGCAAUAUAACUCUUUAUAUAGCUAAAAAAGACACUGCACUCUAAUUAUAUUGAUCUAUUUUAUUGAAAUUUGUUAAUAAUGGUAAAAAUAUUAUAUUGAUCCUGUGAAAUCUAUUUAUAAAGUCAUAAAAUAAAUACUUUAUUAUGUAUUUGAAUAGUGAUAUUUAUCGAUAUAAAUAAAAAAUUAAUUAAAUUUUUUUUAUUAUACUAUAUAAAUUAAAUAAUAAAGUAUCCUAAUCUUAAUGAUAUGGGCCAUCUCAUUUUGGUAAAAAGAACGGAGUUGGACGGAUAUUUUAAAGUAAUAUAAUAAAAUAUAAGUAAGUUUGAAAUAAAAUAAAAAAUAAUUUUUUAAAAAGUUGACCCCAUAAUAUAUUUUUUAAUAGUGCGCGAGACUGAAGAGAAAGUAAGGUAAAUUAAAGUUGUUGAGUUUAUCGGAAUUAAUAUAUCAUAUUUUUAAAAUUAAACAUCGAUCUAUAUUUUUUUAAAAUUAAAAAUUAACAAUUUUUUAUAAUCAAUUCAUUUAAAUAAAAAAAUCUUUAAUUCUAUUAAUUAAAUUAAAAUGAAAAUAAAUAUUUAAAAUAUUUUUAUAAAUACUUAAAUUCUUGUUAAUAUAAAUAAAAUAUUUUAUAUUAUAAAUUAUAUUUUAAUAUUAUAAUUAAUAUAUUUAUCCUUAUAAUUUUAAAUUUGUAUCUUUAAAAAUUAUCAGUAUUCCAACCAUUCAAAUUAUAGUGUUUCUAUUCAUAUUAAUUUAAAAUUAAUAGAUAGUUAAAUUUUUUAAAUAUAAUUUAUUUUUUAAAAUAAUUUUUAAAUAUUACUUAAUAUCAUUUAAAAUAAUUAAAAUUAUAAAUAUUGUUUAAAAAUUUAAAAUUAUAAAUAAAAAUUAAAAAAUAUUAAAAUUUUAAUUGAAUAUGACAAUUUGAGUAAAUAUUAAUGGAGACUUAAAGUAUAAUUUUAAAUAAAAAAUAAUAAAAAUAUUUAAAUUUUAUUAAAUGAGAAAAAAUAAAUGGAUGAAAUUUUAAUUUUUUAUAUAAAAAAGAAUUGAAGAUAUUUUUAUAAUUUUAACGGUAAGAAAUUGAUUAAAAGAUUAAAAUUAAAAUUAAUUAAUUAUAUAAAAAUUAAAGUAUUUAAUUUUAAAAAUAUAAAAAUUAAUUUAUUAAUUAUAUUAAAUUAUAAAAUUAACGUAUAAUUUAUUUAUUAAAAAAUUAAUAAAUAGUUAAAAGUAAAAAUUAAUGAAAAAAACUUGUUAUAAAAGAAUUUAAAUGUUUAAUUUGAAAAAUACUUAGAAACUAUUUCGUUAAUCUAAAACUUAAAAAUCACCCUAGAAAGUACCGCAUUUUCAAAGGGGUAGCUAUCACGGAGGUAUUGUUUUCUAUGAAAUUAUUAGGACUACGAGGAAGGGAAGAGGAAACUCGGCUUUUCUUAUUUUCUUCUACAAUAAAAAAAGAUUUCUUUUGUUAAAUUACUACCAACUCCACCUUCAAACUCAAAACUUCUUCCUCCAUCACUGAACUUUCCUUCCAAACACAAACCAUACCGAUGAGCUAAUGAAAAAUGGAAUCUCUUAGGUGAAAUCUCAGCAAUUUUAUUGAAAAUAAAAAUAAAAACAGCCCGAGACUUUCUAUGCAAAUUCUGAUACAAUCUCGAAGAAGUUAGCUUAAUACCUGCAGAGUCAUCAAAAUUUCAAAUAAAAUUUAUAUAUCUCAACCCCAAACAAAAAUAUAAAAAACCCAUCUGUCACUUUCUCGAGAAAAUUUUUAGUGAUGAAUUUCUCUAUAUAUCCUUGAUGAUAAUAUCCGAUAUUUCUUUAAAAAAAGGGAGAAAAAAAACCCCUUCUCAUUUCUGGGUUUUUCUUUUUGUUUUUUAAUCUUGAAACCCAGUUUUCUCCCAAAUUGCAUUUCUAACUCUGCUCAGAUCCCUCCCUUUCAAAGUCCUCCCUACUCCUUCAUGCACCGAGAACGAUGCGAUCCUCGUCCUCGCCAUCUGCCUCGCCAAAAACUCGUGCGGUGGAACCCUCGAUCCUCCGUCGAAAUAAUCCUCUCCUUCGCCGUCAUCAUCAUCGUCGUCCAUAUCUCUCCUCCGAUUCUCUCUGUACUCGUCUUUUAAUAUCUUUGACCAGUCCGGUAUGUUAACUGGAAGUGACGAAGGAGUUCCGACGGUUCUGUCUCCGGGGUCGUUGCGUCUGGUCAACGCCACUGCUGUUGGUGUGGAUUUCUUUGUGAAUCUCGAACUGGGGACGGCUUUGAGAAACUCGGUCGAGUUGGAACGAGAUGUGGCUGAGAUGUUGUAAAUGUCAGACUCGUCGAGUUCGUAUGCGGAGUCGUGCGUGAGUGGCGCGUGCAAGGCCUGGUCGCUGGACAGAAAUCGGUAAUUUGGCCUGGCUAAGUAGCUCUUGCUGGUGGCCAUUGAAGACAAAAUAGAUUUUCAGGCUCAGCGUGUGUGCUUUGGAGUUCUCAAGAGAAGCCGUAGCGGCGGCGGCGGCGGAGAUGGUGGUGGUGGUGAUGACGGUGGUGACAGGGGGGCGGGGGUGGUGGUAGUUCUCAAUGGCUCCGUUCAAAGGGAGGAUUUUGAUCUGCUUUUAUAAAGGUUUUUAGGUUAGAAAUAGCGUGAUAUAAUGGAUAAGGCUGGGUUUCUCAGUAACUUCAGUUCAUGAAAUUACCAUUAUACCCUUAUUAAAGCUACCCGGAAAUGCUAUGUCGGAUUUUUUUUUUUUGCAAAAAGGCUUUAAAGUUUUAUAUUAUAACAAUUAAGUUUUAAAAUUUUUUACCUAAACAAUUCCUUUAAAAUUUAUUUAAAAUAAAAUCGUAUACUCUUUAAAACGAAUAGAGAUUCGAUGGAUUUCAUUUAAUUUAAAGUUAAAUUAAAUAAAUUAAAAAAUAAAUUUUUAAUAUUUAUAAAAAUUAAAUUAAAUUAAUUUUAAUUAAAAAUUAAAUUAAAUCUGAUGAUUUAAGAUUCAGAAAAAUAGAGUUUUACAAGAGUGUUGUGAAUUUUGAAAAACUUAGCUCUAGAGGAGAGUAUUUCCUCCCUUUUAUCCUCUUUCUUCUCCUUCACGCGAGAUGGUCUUUCUGCUAUAGGACCACCUACCCCUUAGUGCAGGUCAGUACGUACGGAUAAUCUCAGGACCCUCCCUGUGUCAGGCAAGCAUUUAAUUCCCUUCGGCGCGCGAGUGGACAGGGCUGCGAAAUGACUGGACCCGCAGUCUUUUCUUCUUGUGACUGGAUUUGAGGGAAAAUGAUCGGAACCUAGGAAAGGGCUGGCUUUAAGGAUGAAAUGGGCCCGGCCGGUCUGAUUGAAUGACUUAAAUAGGAGUCCGAUCAGGAGGAUGAACGGGUUGGGCCUGGCUUAUUCGAGGGCUUAGGAGCCUCCUGAUUGUGGGCUGCUACUAUCGGCCCGGCCUCGUAAUGGGAUGGAGAAAUCCAGCGGUCAUCAAAUGCCCCUUUACCUUCUCAUCAGUUAUUGCCCGACUGAUGGGGGGUAAAUACCGAGAAUCAUUAUGACCGCGCCAUCUAAAUACAGUUUGCCUCAGAACACCCUUUCACCUUAUCGUCAUAUCGAUUUCCAAAUUUUCUCCGUCUUCUCCCAGUUCCUGCUUUCCUCGGUCAUUCGUGCACGCUGCUAUCUGCGUUCCCCUGUCUUUAUUUUCACGGUACGUUUCUUCUUUUACCAGGGAUAGCUCUAAUCUCUCGGAUGUCGUCAACCUAGAGUUUAGCAUCACCCCGUCUAACACCUGAAACUUCAUUCCCAGGAAAUACCUAGAUAUCCCUUUUUUUUACGUUAGUGCCCCUUGCCUGAAGGGGAGAAUCGUUCUCCUCGAUCCUCAUCCUUCUGGUUUAAUCAACUCUCAGAAAGAUGUGAGCUUGAUUUUAUCUUCCUUCGAAUCUGUUUGUCUGAGCUGGGAGUUCACACCCACGGCGCGUCUGUUCAUCGCCUUCUUCAGGGGGGUCAAGACGAGCCAAAAAUCUUAUUACUUUGUCCCUCGUGUUUUAAUCUUGCUUUUGUGAUUUUCACUGAGAAGUCUUCUGACUUGCACCGAUUUUGGAUUUUUUGCAGCUUCUGAAAUGAAAAUGGGUCAGAUUAAGCUCUCUAAGAAUUUUGUGCUCUCCUGGUAAGACAUGAAUACUGCCUUGGGCGCCUUCCUAGCGGGGCGAUCGAGGGGGGAGACUUCCCAACAAGGGGCCGAAGUAAGAUCGUCCAAGUCGUCUUUCCGGCCUCCUUCCCCUGCUCCUGCCCGAGCUCCGAAGUCGGGCCCUCGAGAUGCUAAAUCUUCAAGGUCGUCAAGCUGCAGCAAGUCGGGCUCGGCCACUCAAGCUGUUCAAACCCUUAGGUCUCCACGGACUUCGAGAUCGAGCGAGACUCCCGGUUGACGGGGACGAAGCCUGCCUUGCCCUCUGGUGAUGCUCUCGGAAGAGGACUCGAGACCUCCACAGCUGAGGUGAAGGUCCUUGCAAGUGAGACUAAGAUAGCACCAGUGGGGAAUGUUCAGGGGGCCCCAGUCGAGGGUGUUCAGUUUACAGAGGAGAGGGAAUCCGGUUCUGCAGAUGGCGGGAGUGUAGCGAAGGAGGUCGGGGGCAAGCGUCCUGCCCCUACCGAAGUGCCUGCCUCGGCUCCCAUUCCAAAGGAGUCCCGGGCUUCUAGGAGACCGGCUCCUGUCCUCCCUCCUCUUAAGAAGAAAAAGGACGCUCCCGUGGUGUCUCUGAUGCCUGCUCCUGACUCAAAUUCAGGGAAUAACAUGAUUUCUGAAAUUUAUUAUGGAAUACAAGAUGCGGCUCACACAUGUAAUAUAAAGCAGAUCAUGGUAGAUUCGUGUCAGGAUUUCCUUGCUGGGAAUGGUGAAGAUGAUCAGUUUGCUAUUGAUUUUGAUGUAGAGCACUUGUGCUAUGAGAAACAGAGAUCUGCUGCACUCAGUCAAGCUUCCGUUGAUGCUUUCCGAUAUGUAUUCCGUGAUAUUCAAAGUUUAGCUUACAAAUAUGCAAGUAGGGACAAUGCGUUGAUGGCUAUGUUUAAACCAGGAAGCAAGGGUAAUUUGCUAAAAUUAGUCCAACAUAGUAUACGUGUAGGUUUUCAACAUUUACUUGUCCCAUUGACCUUCAGAAUGCUUUACCGGCUUUCUUGUGCUGCUUUAAGUAAGCAAAAGGGGUGACAACGCUACUGAAUUUGCCAAGUGUCAUAUCCCAUCUGUUGUCGUUGAAGGUUCUCUUUUAUCCGGCUUGAAUCUCCUUUUGAGGGUACUGGGAGGUUUGAGCCAGAGAGUGUUGGAUCUCCCACAAUCAGCAAUGUAGAUAGUAUAAAUGCAGAUUAUGUAGAUGAUGGCGCCCUUAGGCAUGUAAGUCCUUUAAGGACGGUCUUCCUUCUAUUCUGCGUAGAUGAUGAGAAUAAGUUGUAAUAUACUUUCUUUUAAUGAAAAUUUAUUUCUGUCUCUUACUUCAUGUUCAUACCUGAGUUAUUUCCUGUCUUGUGUUUAUAUUUGAAUUGUUUUUGCCUUUGUCUGUUUUUUUAAUACUCUACCGAGCUAUCUAAACUAUUACAAGUACAAUUUGUUCAAAUUUUUUCAGAAUGAAAUACUCAAACUAUUCCCCGUAAUUCAUAAGGAAUUGAGCACACAGUCCCUUAUCGCUUGCUUUUAGGCUAAUCAGGGCUGAAGACUUAGCCCAAGACUUGGCUUCUGGCUUGUAAAUUUCUUCAAUUUCACAGGGGCCUUCUCACCUGUAGGCUUUUUUCGAGUUGGAUUUACCGUAAGGAUAAGAUUGAGUUGUGCUCCUUUACGGGUUUUGACCCCAUUAGGUCUUCAGCCUGAGCUCGGUUUUUAACAGUUGACCAGUCGUCCUCAAUUUUCUUUUCAUUACUUCAUGCAUAUGAUCUCAGGCGUAUAACCUUUGUAUAAUCAAAGUAAAAUGGAUCAUGUACCUUUUAAGGGGAUAAACAGGGCUGGCCUUCUUAGUUUUAGUCCUGUUCCGACAGGAUUUGAGGCUGAGGCCUUAUCUUCUCACGCCAUUGGUCUUUUUCUUAACUUAUAGGAGGUGUGUUUUCUUCGGUUUGAUUUUUGAGCUUUUUGAGCUCGGCUUUCUUCUGCUUGGUUUUCUGAGUUCGUGUUUUCAGGUCGGCACUUUUGGCCCCUUGUUGUCUUUCGUCUGAUGAUUCAGUUCUCGGGUAUACCUCGGCUGGGUGCUUUGCCGCUUAGAUCUUUCUCUAGGCUAGUCGAGCUGGUUUAGUGUCAUCUGUUAAUUUUGGGUGUGGGUAUCUUAAUAGCUUGUAAUCCGAGUUCGGAUUUAGACUUUUAUUUCUGCCUUAGUAUCUUUUUGAGGUCGGCACGGCACUUUGCCUCCUUUGGCUGCGAGAUCAGAGUCUCUUCCUCUUAGGUCCCGAGCUCCUUUGGGAGGUCAGGAUCUGGUCUUUCAUUGGUGAUUCUGGGCCCAUUACUGUGUUUUCAUGAGUUGUUUUUGCGUGUUGUCACUGCAUGCCGCUGUUUUUGUUUGGUCCGGGAGAUCUUGGGGAUCUCACCGGCCGUUUUUGCUCUGUGAGACCUUGGAAAUCUCUCCGGCCAUUUUUUGCUCCGUGAGAUCUUGGAGAUCUCGCCGGCCAUUUUUGCUCCGGGAGAUCUCGGGGAUCUCACUGGCCGUUUUUGCUUCGAGAGAUCUCGGGGAUCUCACCGGCCGUUUUUGCUCCGAGAGAUCUCAGGGAUCUCACCGGCCGUUUUGUGCCAGGAGAUCUUGGAGAUCCUGGUCUUGUACCUCCUUGAGGUUUUCUGUAAGAUUCGGGCUCUGUGGCCUUACUGCCGCUUCGUCAUCUCUGCCAGUUUUGUGGUGGCGGGGGUACUUUGAGAGCCCGGUCACCUACCUCAUUGAGGUCUUUUGGGAUAUGUUCUUUUCUUUUUCUGAGAGAGUUAAUGCUCACAGUAAUAGAGAUAAUCAUCGUUUUGUCAAAAGGUGGUGUUAUUCCAUUCAUUCAUGUUUUCAUAGUACAAGAAUUUCUUUUUACAAAUAUUCUAAGGGAAGUACCUCUUUAGGUGCUAGAUAUUCCAGGCGUGAGGCUCAGGGUUUCCCUGCAUAUCCUCGAUUUGAUAUACCCCUGGCUUGACUAUUUUCGUUAUUCUGAACGGGCCCUCCCAGGUCGGUGCCAACUUGCCUACUGCCGCUCUUUUUCCUCUAGCUUCUAGGUUUCUCAGGGCCAGGUCCCCUAUCUUCAGACUUCUUUCCCUGACCCUUUGAUUGUAAUAACGGGCAACUCUUUGUUGAUAAGCGGCAGUUCGAAUUUGGGCUUCUUCCCUAACUUCCUCCAGGGCAUCAAGGUUACUUCUCAGCUUAUCACUAUUCGCGUUCUCAUCAUUGAACUGGACCCGAUGUGUAGGAACUUGUAGCUCAAUUGGGACUACGGCCUCAGUGCCAAAUGCAAGUGCAAAAGGCGUUUCUUUAGUGGACCACCUAGGGGUAGUUCGGAGUGCCCACAAGAUACUGUUGAGUUCUUCUGCCCAAUUCGCCUUUGCCCCAUCCAGCCGUUUUUUCAACCCCUGGAGGAUGGCUCUGUUGGUGACCUCUUUUUUCUCAUCCCUAACCUCCAGGACUUUGAGUCAAGCCUUUCUGCUGCCGAGCUCGGCUCUGAUACCGUGGCCAGAUACACUGCUCUCGCCUCCUCCUGACUUCCUCUGACUACACCCACUCCUGCCUCUGUUGGAAACUUCAUAGUCAGAUAUCUGAUGCUGGUUACGGCCUCAAAGUCAAACAGCGCAGGUCUCCCCAGGAUUGCGUUGUAGUUCAAUGGGAGUUUGACCACUAAGAACACCGCAUAGUGAGUGCGAGUUCUUGGUGCCUGAUCAAGCAUANNNNNNNNNNNNNNNNNNNNNNNNNNNNNNNNNNNNNNNNNNNNNNNNNNNNNNNNNNNNNNNNNNNNNNNNNNNNNNNNNNNNNNNNNNNNNNNNNNNNNNNNNNNNNNNNNNNNNNNNNNNNNNNNNNNNNNNNNNNNNNNNNNNNNNNNNNNNNNNNNNNNNNNNNNNNNNNNNNNNNNNNNNNNNNNNNNNNNNNNNNNNNNNNNNNNNNNNNNNNNNNNNNNNNNNNNNNNNNNNNNNNNNNNNNNNNNNNNNNNNNNNNNNNNNNNNNNNNNNNNNNNNNNNNNNNNNNNNNNNNNNNNNNNNNNNNNNNNNNNNNNNNNNNNNNNNNNNNNNNNNNNNNACCUAGUCAUUAGGAAAGUCUUUGGUGUCAAUUCCCUGUGGUUCGACCCUAUUGCCACUAUCUGCAAAUUUAUUUGUUGAUCGUUUAAUAGGUUUAUUUUUGACGGCUUCGACAACCGCCUAUCAGUGCCUCUCCUAAAGUGAGAGCUAGCUUUACCUUCCCCUCCACUGGUACAGGGAUUCCUCUGAUCCCUUUCACUAGGGCCUGGUUCCGGACUAGUUGCUCCUCGGAAAUUCCCAUCUGUUGGAAGACUCUGUAGGGUAAUAGGUUCACCUUGCUUCCAUCAUCCACCAAGAUCUUCUUCACCCGGUAGUUGUGAAUGACGGCUUCAAUGACAAGGGCGUUGUCAUGAGGCAUUUGAACACCCUGAGAAUCCUCUGGAGAGAAAGUGAUGGCCCCUGGAGAAUGCUCGACGACCUGCAUGACUUCAGCGCUGCUGCUUUCUCCCUCUCGACUCCUCUUUUUUCCCCUUCGGCUCAUCCGACCUCCUGUCCCUCCGACAAUCAUGUUGAUGGUCCCACUAGACCCAUCAUUCACUGGUCCUGCUCCUGCUCUCCGGGAUGUUUGCUCCACUGGGUUGGGCCGCGGCCUUUGUCCCUCCGGUUUCUUCACAAAGUUUCUGAGGUGUCCCCUUUUUAUCAGCCUCUCGAUCUCAGCAAUCAGCUGGUAGCAGUUGUUGGUGUCGUGGCCGUGUGUACGAUGAUACUGAUAAUAUUUGUCAGGAUCUCGCUGGUUUGCUUCAGCUUUCAUAGGUCUGGGCCAUUGAAGGAACUCCUUGUCCUGUACUGCCAUGAGCACCUCGGCUCUGGAGGCGUUGAGCGGGGUCAGACUCUCUGGAAUCCACGGAGGGAGCGAUUUCUGUUCUGAAACCCUUGGAGGGUGGGGUCUUUGGUCUUUUUGCUCCCAGGGCUGUCUGUAGGUUUCAGGCCUUAUGCCUUGCUUCUUCUCUUGCCUCUCCGACCUCUUUUCUUCGAGGGCUUUUCCUCUGUCUUCUGCCCCUUUGGCAAACCUGCUCGUCAUUAAGGCAUCAUCCUGCCUUAUGUAUUUCUCCGCCCUCUUCAUGAGCUCUGCCAGUGAGGUCGGGGGUUUCCUGCUCAACGAGCCAAAGAACUCAGGUGAGGUCGUCCCUUUCUGCAUGGCCUCUACCGCCCGACUCUCAUCCAGCUCGGGGAUCUGUAGGGCCUCUGUGUUGAAACGGGCCACGUACUCCCUUAGCGAUUCAUCCUUUCUCUGCUUGACCGUCUCCAAGUAACUGGUUUUUCUCUCUGCUGGCACUCCGGCUAUGAACCGACUGAUGAAGGCGUCGGCCAGAUCCCCGAAACUCCUGAUGCUCCCUGCCUCCAGGCUGUUAAACCACGCCCGCGCUGGUCCUGUCAGAGUUCUAGGCCUUGCACGUCAAGGCAUCCGACAGAGUCUGCAACUCCAUAAAAGUCUUGUAGUUGAGAACAUGCUCCCUCGGGUUGCCAGCCCCGUCAUAUGCUGCCAUAGGAGGCAUCAUAAACUUUUUGGGGACGAUCUCCUGCUGCACCCACUUCGAGAAGGGUGAAAAGGUGGGCAAGAGAGUUUGAUUCUGAUCCUUCGUUCCCAACUCGGCCAAGAGCUGCUCUCUCAUCUUUUGCAGCUUUUGGUCUACACUCUCCUCCUCCUGCCUGGGUUUCUUCUCCCGGCAGUACUCCUCUUCCUCCGCUUCGCUUCUCGUCCACUUGGUUGUUCCGACAGAAUAACUGUCGGCCUCGUCAUUCUCAAUCAACUCCCUCACCCUCCUUCCGUGAACCCUUGCUUCUGGCUCUACUUCUCCACCAGCUCUCCUGCUUCUCUCUCCUGUUUCUCGGCUGGUUGUUUGAGGAGGAUUGAGGGUAGGUUGGCGAGGUUCAUUGAUUCUGGGUUCUUCUACCACUGGCAACACAUUCACCGGGGUGUUAAGGCCCCUUUAUUGCAUCAUCUGCCCCAACCAGUGAGCGGUAUUUUGUAGUUGGAGGGCCAUGCUCUGAAGGUCCUGGUUGGAUAGAGCAGCUCCAGGCACAUUCCCUGCCAAGCUUGGCGAGGGGUUGAAGGGAAUUGGUGUUUGGUUGUUUGGGGUUGUGGGACUGAAAAAAGAGAACUAUUGUCCCUCAUGAGCGGAGCUCAGGUCAUUAGGAGCGUUAAUGGUGUUGUUUUCAGUGUGGUUAGCCAUCGUGGAUCUCAGUGGGUAUUGUAAGAGUGGAACUCCGGCGAUGAAAAGAUCUCAUUCGUUUCCCACAGACGGCGCCAAUUGAUGAUCUGAGAUCCAGAAAAAUAGAGUUUUACAAGGGUCUUGUGAAUUUUGAAAAAUUUAGCCCUAGAGGAGAGUGUUUCCUCCCUUUUAUCCUCUUUCUUCUCCUUCACGCGAGAUGGCCUUUCCGCUAUAGGACCACCUAACCCUUGGUGCAGGUCAGUACGUACGGAUAACCCCAGGACCCUCCCUGUGUCAGGCAAGCAUUUAAUUCCCUUCGGCGCGCGAGUGGACAGGGCUGCGAAAUGACUGGACCCGUAGUCUUUUCUUCUUGUGACCGGAUUUGAGGGAAAAAGAUCGGAACCUAGGAAAGGGCUGGUUUUAAGGCUGAAAUGGGCCGAGCCGAUCUGAUUGAAUGACUUAAAUAGGAAUCCGAUCAGGAGGAUGAACGGGUUGGGCCUGACUUAUUCGGGGGCUUAGGAGUCUCCUGAUUGUGGGCUGCUACUAUCGGUCCGGCCUCAUAAUGGGAUGGAAAAAUCCAGCGGUCAUCAAAAUCAAAUUAAUUUGAUUGAUUGGUUUAUAUUUUUAAUAAAUUUUUUAUUUUUUAUAUUUUAUUUUUAAUAUUUUAAAAUUUAAUUAAAAUAUUUUAAUUUUAAUUAUAAUUUAAUCUCUAUAUUAUUAAAAAUAAUAUAUUAUUAUCACUAAUCGAUUUGAUUUAAUUUUUUUAUUUUUUAUUAAAAUUAAAUUAAAAUAAUUAAAAUUUUUAAAAUUAAAAAUUAAAAAUAAUAAAAAAUUAAAAUUAAAAUUUUGAAUUAAUUCAAUUGAAUCAAUUUUUUUUAUUUAAAUUAAAUAUGGUUUAUUUAUAUUUUUUAAUAAAUAAUUUUUAAAUAAUUUUAAUUUUUUGAAACGUAACUAAUUUUAUUAUAGUUAAAUUGGUAAUAGUAGGCAUAAUAAAAUUUUAAUAAAGUAUUAGAGAAAUAAUAAGUUAAACAUAUCUACAAAAUUUAAUAAAUAUUUAUGAUAAGCUCCUUUAUACUACGAAAUUUCCAUUCUCUACUCUUUGGCAACAUUUAAUUUUUUUAGUGCAAGUUAUAGUAUAAUGUCUUUGUAAAUUUUAUUUAUUUAUAAAAUAGUAAAAGAAUUUAUUUAUCAUAUUUUCUAAAUUUAAAUUAUUUAUUUAUCUUUUUAAUCAAAAUAUUUAUUUAAACAUAAAAUAAUUUUUGAAGACUUAUUUAAUUAUUAAUGAAAUUUUUUCUUCUCAUUUUUAAUAAAAUUUAUUAUUUAAUUUGAGUUGAAUUUUUACUAAUUAUGAUGGUUAUAUUAUUUACAAACUUAUUAAAUAAAUAUAAAUUUUAAAUUUUUUAAAUAUACUUAUUAUCAAAUUAAAUUUAUAAUUACAUAUUAAUUUUUACAUUCUUUUUAUCGAUCUUAAAUUUUAUAAACUAUAAACAAAAAAAUAAAUACAGUAAUGCCACGUGUCUCAUCUCACCAUCGUGGAUUAAAAACGUAUAACGAGCCACACUAGCGGACAAAAAAAGGGCAAUUUUGGAAUAUCAAGUUUGUCUAUUACGAGAACAAUAUUUGUACUGCGAGUUACGAAUUUGUCGCGACCCGAAUUUGAGAGCGGGGACCUGGUUUCUAGAAAAGAGGACAAAGGUGUUAAAGUGGUCCUGUUUAGACGUUCGAGGAUCUCGACACGUGUAUCAACCUUGAUGACAACACACGUGGCGUAGUUUCAUCAAAAUAUAAGGAGUAGAGUGGGGGGACUGAAUGGCACGUGAAUUGUGGGGUCUCCACUCCGAUCUAGCGCGUCUCUCCCGCCAGCUGGACCCUGCCACGCUGCUGUCCUCUCAAACGCGACACUCCAUAAUCUACCCCCAUUUUAUCGUCAUACCUUCCGAAAAUAUCGUUUGAGAUUUUAAAAUUACAAAUUUUAAUUAAAAUUAAAUAUUAAAAAAAUCAUCACGCUUUAUUUGUGAAGGAAAUUAAUUAUUUUGAAAUUAUAUUUUAUAUUGUAUUUACCUUUUUUUAGCAAAGAAAUGAUUUCGUGGGUGAAGGAAAGAGAAAAAUAAAAUGGAAUAGUGAGUUGAUGAUUCCAGUUAUUUCAAAUAAAGAAAGUCGAUGAAUCAAAAGGCAAUUGGAUGGCAGCCAAGGUUUUGCAUUGCCAAUCUAAAAACGACACUUCAUGAUACCUUUACCUUUUAUAAUAUCUUUGCAUUAUAUUCUUGAUUCUCCAAAAUCAAUAAAAGAAUUAUAUAUUUCUUUUUAUUUGGAGUUUUUAAAUGCAAAGUAUAAUUGUAUAUAAAAAAGGUUUUUUUUUUAAUUUUAAAAUAAUAUUUUAUUUAUUUUUACUAACACAUUUCUAUUUAAGCCAUUAAAAAUAAAAAUGGUUGUUUAAAUUUACUAAAAAGACACUUUAAUUUAAAAAGAUUAUAAUAAUCAAUAAAUUAUUCAUAAAUAUUCUAUUUAAUGGACCAUAUCCUAAAUUUUAUUUAAAGAUGAUAAAAUAAUUCUUAUUUUAUUAAAAGUAAUUUUGUCGUUUUACAAAAAAUUUAAAACUUCAACCAUGAAAUUUAUUUAAAAAUAAUAAUAAUAAACGGAAACUUUUAAAACCAUUUUUAUUUAAUUAAUUUAUAAAUAUAAAUAUUUAAUAAGCAUUGAAGUGGAUAAUCCAUAAUAAGACCUAAUAUAUUUAUUUAGUAUUAUUGUAUAAGAGUUUCAGUACCGUAUAAAUUAAUUAAAGUUUGGUUAAAGGGAAAGUGAAAGAGCAGAAGUUUUGACAGAAGGAAGAACAGAUGAACCGAAGAAAAGCUUGACAGAAGGAAGAACAGAUGAACCGAAGAAAAGCACCCUUGUUUGUUUUGCAAGAAGUCAUUGAAGAGUUUUGCUUUUUUAUUUUGCUUUCGUCGUUUUUUUUUUUGUUUUGUUUCCUUACCUUAGGCAAGGAGGUCAAUCCGUAAUCUGUGGUUUCCCUUGCAAUGGAUAGCAGCACCAAUUUAUUUUGAUUUUUCUUUUCAUUGUUUUUGAAUUUUAUAGGUCUGAAUUAUUCUCUUCGUGAGAAUGGCUGUACUGCCAGACUUGCUGAGGGAUGACAGUUUGCUUUUGGCCGCUGAGAGACAUCUAGUUGCUGUAACGCCAGUAUUUUGAAACCAUCCCACUAUGUUCGGAGGAUCACGCUCCAGUUAGUUAAUGUAGCCGUAGACUCCGUAGUGUCUCCUUCUCGUGCACAAUGGUUCUCGAUAACUGUUAGGUUCCUUACACUUUGGGGCGAGACCAAAUUCUGGAGAAAAACACAGAUCCAAAAGUCAUUUUCAAGUAGAUCAGCCCAACAUUGUUUGUUCCAAUCAGUGAUGUAAAGCAGGCCAGAUUGACCACACGCGCAGGUCCAUCUGAGAAUAGCCUAGUCCAGUGACAAGAGGUAAGAGAACAGACACAAUCACUUUACGGUCCUAUCAGUAUGCGCACCGAGAGAAUUAAAUGGUUGUCUGAUAGAGAGAAAUACAUUGGCACGUCUAUACGUACAAAUCUGAAUGUAAUAGUGGUUAUACGUCACUAGAGAAUAAAAUGAGAAACAAUAAAUGAGAAAGAAUAAAGGAGGAGAAAUGUGAUCUGCUCUAGUUAAGCUCACUUAUGCAUUAUAAACUCUAAUUUUUGGAUUUUAAAAUAUCAUUUUUUAUAUGGAUUGUUUUUACUUAUUUUUUCUUUUUAAAAUUUCAAAUAUGACUCACAUAGCUAUUAUUGAUAUUGUUAGAUCUAGUCCGUUGUCCAAAUUGUCUCUGUUUGUAAUGUUUGUGGUGCUUAUAUUUUAGUAUAAAUUUAGAUGCUCCUUGCACCUCCAUUUGGAGCAUAUUAUAUACUCUCAAUCUCACACUAAUUAAUAUCAUUGAAUAAAUUCUUUCUUCUUUUUUGACAAAAUUACAAGAAAACGAGGAGAUUGAAUCUGAAAAAUCUAAUAUUCACUCUAAUAUAUUUAGAUUAUGUUUAACGAUAAUUUUUUAUAAUUUUAUUUAUAUAUUUUAUUUUAUUUUAUUUAUUUUUUUAUAGUAUGAAGAGUUAAUUUAUAAAAAAUUUUAAUAAAAAGUAAUUGAUUAAAAAUUUAAUUUAUAUAAGUUAAACCUGAGAUAAAGUGAUUGGUUGUUAUUUAGAUAGUGGAGAACAUGAGUUAAUGCAAACAAGAAUCUAACCCACAACUUAAAGAUAUGUCACUUUCAAUUAUUGAUUACAAAUUAUAAUUUGAGAAGGUUAGUGGGUAUUGCCCAACCAAAAUGGGUUCAAGCUGUCCUUUCUGGCUUUUCCUUUGGGCUUUGACUCUUUUGAUUAUCCCUCGCAAAGCUAAUCACUUCAUUUAUAGAAAUGAAGCCAUGGGUCCACAUUGAGCUUCAUUUAGAGGAUAGACAUGGGUCCCUAGCAGCUGUCAUGUUUGUUACAGAGUGGUGGUUUGGAUUGGAUGAUAGAAAUGAAGCCAAGUCUAUGGUGUCUCUGUCAUUGCUUAGGUUAAGUUGAUUUGAGUGAGUGAUUUAAUUUGAAAGGAGUUGAUUCUGGAAUAGGUUUGAUUUGAAAUCUUAGGCUCUAUUUUUCUAGGCUCACAGUUCUAAUUUUCUGGUUUAUUGAAAAGUAAUUAGAAGUUAGAGAAAAAAAUGGAAAAGAAAGUGUGUGUGGGCCCGAAUAAAUUCGUCAGCUUAAAAUUAUUCAUAUAAACUAAUUUGAUCAAGCUAAGCCGACUGGCCGAGGACCCGAAUGUUAAGUUAAUGUAUAGCUUGGGCUUGUAAAGGCUUAUCGAGGGCUUGCUAUAAUUCUUAAGCCCGAAAUGCGUUUACGUUAUUCUCAUUACUCAUGUGUGGGCCCUUAAUUUAAGGCCCAGUUGGUCUUGGUUUGGACUUUAGAGGGCCAUGUUUAGUACCUUAAAAGACAUUGUUACCCUUGGUUCCCUAAAUUGAGUAGGCAUUUGCUCAGGGCUAAAUAUGUCAUUUGAAGUUCUCCCCCACGCAAAACCCUAAACGCUGGGUUGUCAUAUAUUAGCUUUAUUUCUUCCUUUUGUGCUCCCUCGAAUCGAAAUCUUUGUGUAGUCUCACUCUGAGCACAAAAAUGCCGCCUAAAUUUGACCCUUCUCAGGUCGUCGAUGUCUUCGUCCGGGUCACCGGUGGAGAAGUCGGUGCGGCUAGUUCACUCGCCCCGAAAAUUGGGCCGCUUGGUCUCUCCCCUAAAAAGAUCGGUGAAGACAUCGCUAAGGAGACCGCUAAGGACUGGAAGGGCCUUCGCGUCACCGUCAAGCUCACGGUGCAGAAUCGUCAGGCUAAGGUGUCAGUUGUUCCAUCUGCGGCGGCUUUGGUCAUCAAGGCACUUAAGGAGCCAGAGAGGGACAGAAAGAAGACUAAGAAUAUCAAGCACAGCGGGAACAUCUCGCUGGAUGAUGUGAUUGAGAUCGCCAAGGUUAUGAGGCCAAGAUCGAUGGCUAAGGAUCUAAGUGGAACUGUCAAGGAGAUUUUGGGAACUUGCGUCUCGGUUGGGUGUACUGUCGAUGGUAAGGACCCUAAGGAUUUGCAGCAGGAGAUUACUGAUGGUGAAGUUGAGGUGCCACUUGACUGAGAGAUCACUAGCUACAGUGAGCUACUAUUUCCUUUUCUUUUCCUUUUUUGGUCCUACAUAGAGAAACUGUAUUCGAUUUAAUUUGUGUUUUUCGACAUUGAAGAACGUUUCUGGAUUAUUUACUAUUUAAAGUUAAUCAGAUGAUUUGGAGGAUUUUUUGGGGUAGCUAUUGUGUCUUUAAUGCUUGUUUGUUGGAUUUUAGUUCGUUGCUGUUAACUUUUUGCAGUUGAAUUUAUGGUUUUUUGCCUUGAAUUAUGUGCAAUAAUGUACUGUGAGUAAAUUUUAGCCAUUGAUAUAUUUUAAGUUAUACAAGGUGCAACAUGGUAAAAUAAAGAAGCAAAGUUUUAUUAAUAUUUUCUGAUGAAAAUUAUUAUAUAAUGCAGCAAGGCCAAGGUUUAUAUGAGUUUCUGCAACAUGGUAAAAUAAAGAAACAAAGAUUUAUUAAUAUUUUCUGAUGAAAAUUAUCAUAUAAUGGAGCAAGGUUUAUAUGAGUUUCUUCAAUUUGUUCUGUUUGGUUCGUGCUUGUUUUGAUAUGUUAAGAUUUGUGCCUUGUGUGAUGAUGAGCAAUGAUCAUUUGAACUAAAUAUCUGAUAUUGCCUGCAGUUACGAAACUGAUUUCAAUUUGCACUGCUUUCUCCUUAGGAUGCCAGUUUUUUGUAGUUUGUAAAUUCUGCUCUACUGUGCUUUAUGAACUGCAUUUUUAGGUCCAGAUGUUCUGUAUAAUUUUGUUUAUGUUAUUUUUGGGCACUUCUAGCAAAUUCUUAUCAUCCUCUGUUUUCUGCUGGUGCUUGGGGUGUGCCAUUUGGGUACAAGUUGUUUAAUAGAGUCCACAUUUGCAAAGCUAUAUGCCCUCUCCCUAUAUCUUUUCAAGGGUUUAAUUGUUUUAUUUAUAAAAAUUAGGUGUUAGAUGUAAACAUAAAAUUUAUAUAUAUAAAUAUAUAUAUAUAUAUUUCCAAGCUUCCUCUCAUCCUCACUUUGAGUGGUAGUAUGUCAAUCUUUAAGAAUCUCUUUAUCCUCUGCUAAUACGAUUAGUUGAACUCGUUCAGGCAUUCUACCUGUUUUAACUGUUAUGUGAUCCAUGUCAUUUAUGGAAUUCAAGUUUUAUUUAUUCAAUGCUGGACACAUGCUAUAUACUGUUAGCUUUCUGCUCUCCCAUGGAAUAAAUUUGAAAUUGGAACCUGGGUGGUUCAGAAUGGAUUUUGUUCAUUUUGUUGGCAGUUGCAAGUAUGUGUUCUGUUGAAAAGAGAUUUCGCAGCCUCUGAAAUGCUUUUUAUUAUUUAUUUCUUGAGGUGAUACUGUAUGGAAUAAUGCUCCUCUAUAAGGACUGUGUUGUUGUUUUCUUUUUUACUGGGAUAAAUUUUUGUUUUUCCUUGAUCCAGCUGUUUUCUGCUUGCUGAUUUUUGCUUUUAUGGUUACUUGCAUCUCGGCCUUUUUGUUAUGGUAUUAUACUAUUUUCCUCAAAUUUAAGCUGGGUCUUUUGACAUGUUCAUUGAAAUAUUACCGAGGAGUUGAAGUUAAAAAAUGUGUAAUGCCAGGCGUUUUAUUUUGUAGACAGUUUACUUUAAACAACACUUCUUUUUGAUGCUUUCUCUUUCAUGCUAGUGGUUGGCCUCUGAAUUAAGAGGCAGUUUGAUGUGAAUUUUUGUAAGAAUGGUGGUGAGCUCGCCUACAUGAAGUGCAAGUGAUUACUCUCUCUUUUUUAUUCUUUUGGUAGAUAAAAUUCUUAAAUAUGGCUUCCAAUCCAUCUAAUAACAAGAUUAUAAAGCUUUGGACAUUGGACAUGUACACCAUCUGAAGAUUUGAUUUUACACAAUCUCAAUACGCUAAAUAACUAUGUAGCUAUACCAAAUACUAUUAAAUAUCAAUCCAAAACGACAAAAAUUUCAAAACACAUGAAGAGAUAGAUGAGAUUGGGUGUGAGAAACUGAAGGACUGAGUGAGAAACAAUCAAAGAGUACUAGAAGCUCAGGGCGAAAAAUUGGUGGCGGGCGAUUUUUUUGCAUGGUGAUAUUAGUGUGCGCACAGAUCCCACAAUAGCAUCAAGACGAGGCCAGGUAACCACUUGGUCGUUUCAGCAUCUCUGCUCUUCGAUCUAAUCUCCCGGCCAUUGAUGUCACUGUGAGAGUAUUCAAAAGUGAUUCUCUGUUGAAUGUGGCUUAGGAUUUUAUGUACUGAAGGGAUGACGUAAAAAACUGAGAGAGGAGAAGGAAACAUAAAAGAAAACAGAGUGAGAAGUAGAAAAAAUAGAGGCAAAGCAAUUGAUAUUUGAGAGGGAUGAAGAGGGGAAGAGAGGACGAGAAACAAAUUCAGAUGAGAAGAGAUAUAGGUAGGCCUGGCCAAGGCCGGUUCAGAUUAGACCAGAACCAGCUGAAUUUUUGACGGUUUGAAACAGUUUGGUUUUUUAACAGUUUUAGUCUGAUUUUAAUUCUGUUUUACAGCGGUUAUGAUUAUAGUUUUUUUUUUCAAUUCCGAUAAAUUUCAAAAAACAAUAUUAUUUACAAGAUAUUCCUUUGAUAAUUAAUUUACUUACAAGUAAAAAGAAAAAAAAAAGAUAAUUAAUUUACCUAUACAUCAAUAGUAAGUGACAAUUUAUUAAAUAGUUUAUUUUAAAAAUUUUAAAAUAAAAUUGAAAUUGAAUCUAAUUCUUAAUUUAAAUUGGUCGAUUUUGAUUUUAAUUUUAGAAAAAUAAACAAAUAAUCAGUCUCUAAUAUAAUAUUUCGGUCUGAUUGAAAAAUCAGAAUCGAUUGGUUGAUAUAAUUUUAACCGGUUUGAUUUUAAUUCAAUUUAGGGCCUGAACUGAAUUGUGGCCGGUCUAGGUAUAGGUUUCACAUCACCUAUAUGCAGUGCCCUUAAAUUUGAUUCUGUUUUGUUUUUUUUUCCCGCAAUGAAAUUAAAAAAAGAUUAUUGAAGAUAUUUAAAAGUAAUAAUCAAAAUUGGACUGAUCAAUGAAAAGGAAAUCUAACUAAAUCGAUUUAUUUAUUAUUAUUUUUUUUUUCCAUUUUAACCAUAAUACUUCCUCUUGUGUCGCCUCUAUCCCAUCCCUUUCUCCACCUUGCCUCUGCGCUUUAUCCGUAUCCUUCUCCCACUUUGUUUUCCAUCAUUGGUUGAUUAUUAACGUUUAGUUCUUACAUUACUUCAUUCUUACGCGAUAUUAGGUUGGAGAUAAUUUAAUUAAAAAAUUUCAAGUACUCUUAAAAUUAUAUCUAUUUGAUUGAGAUUUUUACUUAAUUUAUUACUUAAUAGACGAAAAGUAAAUUACAAGUUAUUUUCUGAAAAAUUUAUUUUUCAAAAAGUAAACAAUUUAAACCAAAUAAUGCUUUAGUUUGUUACUUGCGCGUCUCAAUUUUUUUUUCGUACAUUUUUAAUUUUAAAUAAAAAAUUAUCCAAUACACUUGGUGCAUCAGUUUAACUAAUUAACAAUUAAUCUGGUGGUCCAUGUUGCUUCUUCAUUGUUUCGCGUUGCUUGUUUUCAUUGUUGAACAAUUUUCUGUUUAUGUGUUGCAACAAUGGUGGUGCUCUUCUUCGGGUUUCAGUUUGGUGUAUAUGACUUUGGCCACGAUCGAAAGAGUACCUUAUUUUUUCCGAUGUGCAACCAACGACGACGAUUGGAGGCUCAAAACGUCUGGCGGUACGGUUUCGUCUUUCUAUCAGGUCAGGGUUGUCUCUUAUGAAUCUAGAGUUUGUGUCUUCUAUCUUUUUUUCUGUAUUGGGCAGCUUUAUGUUUAUGGGCCUCUUCUUGAACUUUGUGACUCUUUUUAAUGAAUUUUAUCUUUGAAAAAACAGAAAAUUCUGAAUAGUUUGUGGGAUGGCGGCCGCCGUGAAAACGUGGACAAAAUCCGAUGGUAAUGAGAGUCGCUAUUAGAAAAGCAAAUCUUUUAAGUAAUAAGAUCUUCUCCUAAUUUAGCCUUUGAAAAAACUAUGAAAUACUACAACCGACAAAUUAAGCGUCAGUAUUAACCUUACAAAAGCUUACUCAAAAAUUGAAAAAAUAAAUAAAUUCAAUGGAAUGUUCAAUUAUUUUCAGACACGUGGAGCAUGUUGCAGCCACAAAUAAAGAAUGAAAUAAAAGAAAGCAAAUCAAUGGACUUACUUGCAAAGAACAAAAAGUGGAAAUUGGAAAUGAUAAAAGGAUGAUGAAAAAUAAUGGGAAUGUAAAAUGACAAAAGGCUGUUGUCAUUAUUCUAGAGAAAAAUUUAUUUUAAAAUUACUUUUAAUAUUUUUUAAAUAGUUAAAAUUAAUAGAAAAAUUUUUAAUGGGCUUUUUAAAAUUAUAGAAAUUAAUUAAUUUUUUUAUACUAUAACAAUUAAAUAGAAUUUUUUUUAUAUUUUUAAUUUAAGACAGAAAUUAAACUUUUACCUAUUAAUUUUUUUUAAUAUAGAGUUAAUUAUUUUGAUAAUGAAAAUAAGGUGGGAUGAGUUUAGAGACAUUUGGAUUUGGAUUGGAUCAAUCAUAUAUAGUUUAGAUUUUUAAGUUAAUUUCUAAGUAUUUUCUGAUUUUUUUUUUCAUAGGAAAGAAAUACUCUUAUGGAAUUGCAAAAAGAUUGUUAUGAAAAUAUAAAAAGGCUUUUGAAAAAACAUAGAAAGGAGAAAUUUUAUGAUAUACGUAUUGUAUAAUUAUUAUUAUGCUAUUAAUGAGUCGAACAGCGAAAUUGAUACCGAUAUAAAUAGAAAAAUUUUACGAUAUAAUUAUUAUAUACACAAUUAUCAUUAUACUAUUAAUAAUAUCGAGCAGUCAAAUUUAUAUAAAAGAAUUUAAUGCUUUAAUAUAUGAAAAGAAAAAAUUUUACUAUACAAUUAUUAUAUAUAACUAUUAAUUAUGAUAUAAAUUUCAUAUAAAUUUCACUAUAAUAUUAUAUGGUUGUAUAUAAAAUGAUUUUUCCUCGACAAUCGGAUUAUAUUCAAGUUUUGGUCUUCUAGUUGAUGCCAUAGCCUCAACAUAGAGUAAUUAUAGAAACACCUGAGGUUUAGGUUUUGUCUAGGUGUUGGUAUUUGUGGGUGGAUUUGAUCAUAUUUCCUGUUUAUGGAUAGAGAUCCUUCAAGUACAUGUCAAUUUCAAUUCUAGCACCAACCGAGCAAAAUAGACGAAACAACAAUUUCAAUCACUCAAUAAUGAUAUAGCUAGCUAGGCCUUCUAUAAGCUUCUAGUUAAGUCUACAUGGUGAUAUCUUUUCUAGUACAACUUUGUAAUAAAUCAAUAUUCUUUCAUAAUUAAUGGUUUUUAAGUUGUGGCAAUUUGUCAGCUUUUGUUUUUUCUUGAUUAAUUUGGUUUUGUAAUCAUGAUUUGUGAUAUAUACUACCUUUUUUUUCUCAUAAUAUGAAAGAUACAAUAAGUUGAGAGACAAGUAAGUUGCCAAAAUAUGUUGUAUAUAUUUUUAGAUUUUGAUAAUUUAAGAUCUAAAAAAAGGUAAAGUUUUAAUAUGUGUGAGUGAAUUUAGUCUGAAUGAUUCACGCCUUUCUCUUUUACUCUUUUUUUCCUUAUUCUCUAGUAAUGUAUAACCACCAUCCUUCUUUUAUUUCUUUUAUCCUUAUUCACCGCCACCCCUACCUAUAGUGCCACAUAUUGCUAUUAUAUAGGACUGUACAUACGUACUCCUUUUUUCUUUAUCAUCAGACAGCUAUUUAAUUCUCCUCCGAUACUUAUGCUGAUAGGGUCAUGGUGUAGCUGAGACCUUUCUCUAUUGACCCAUCACAUCAAGUGAGCUGAAUACUUUUCUGAUGAAAUUGAGCCCCGAUGAGUCUGGCUUGCUCGAUAUAGUCUGAAUUAUACGCUAAUGGACCAGUUUGCAUAGAGAGUUCUAAUGGAUUUUGAGUCUAAUUUUUCUAUAAAGAUUCGACUAUGGUCCGAGUGUCAGUGACUCAGCGCUCAUUAGAUUUUAACCAAUAAAAAUAUACUCUAAUUAAUUCUUCUCCGAUACUUAUGCUGAUAGGGUCAUGGUAUAGCUGAGACCUUUCCCUAUUGACCCAUCACAUCAAGUGAGCUGAAUACUUUUUUGAUGAGAUUGAGCCCCGAUGAGUCUGGCCUGCUCGAUAUAGUCUGAAUUAUACGCUAAUGGACCAGUUUGCAUAGAGAGUUCUAAUGGAUUUUGAGUCUAAUUUUUCUAUAAAGAUUCGACUAUGGUCCGAGUGUCAGUGACUCAGCGCUCAUUAGAUUUUAACCAAUAAGAAUAUACUCUAAAAUAUGAAAAAUAUUAGAGGGAAAACUUGUCAGAAACCUUAGGUUUUGUUAUUAUAUCAUAAAUAUUACGUUAUUUAGAAUUAUGACAGUGAUCAUAUAAAUUUAUUUUCUAUUAAUUGGAUGUAUAUAUUUGAAUAUAUGUGCAAGAAUUUUCCUUUUUAUUCAAUAAUUUCAUAACCACUCCCCAAUAAAUCAAAAAGUUCCAUGAUUGAAUAAUGGAAAACCUAAGAGCUGAUUGCUUAGUUUGUACAGGUCAGAAGAUCAAUACUUUGCAAUUUUCCCACAUGCAUAUCCUGUUUGGAAGCCUGGAAAAUGCUAAUAUUUGUAGGACAACUUUAAAAUAAAGUAUAUGAAAAGGUUGAAAUCUUACAUUUAUUAGCUGUGAUUUGAAUUAUGAUUUUGAUAAGGGUAACUACCAUUUAUAUGUAUUUUUUUAAUAUUGAAAAAUUAUUUAAAUAUUAAUAAUUAGGUUUUAGGUUUGCACAGUACAGAUAAGUUCAUCAAGCAAAACCAUCAUCACUCAUCAGCCACCAUAAUGACAACAUUGUAAUCCAAUAUUAUAAUCUUGUUAAUGAUUUAUGGAAUCAAAAUAUAAUAUUAUUUUCUUGGAUAACUUAAAUUAAUAAUGCCUUUUUUUCCCUUUUUCUAUAUUAAAUAUUUUUGAAAUUUGUUUUUAAUAAUUUUUAAUUAAUAUUUUUAUUAUAAUAUUUUUAUGUACUGCUUUUUUAAAGAAAAAUUGGAGAAUUUAAAUUUUUAUUUUAUUUUUUAAGCAAAAGGGUUCUUGAUCCUGCAAAGCAAAGAAACAGCUGAGCUGAUAUCUGCCUUAAUUUCUUUCCAAUAAAAUUUAGCCAGAAAGGUUGGGUUGAAUGGAAGGAAGUGAUCUACCUCAUUGACAUAUACAAGACAUAAAAUAAAAUAAAAUAAAAUAAUUUGUGGUUGCAAUUAAAUUAGAAAUUAUUAUUUAAUAGAAAGAAAGGGAGAAAAAAAAUUAUAAGCAAUUAAUGGAACCCUAAAAUUCAUAAUUCAAAUAUGAAAUUUACUUUUUUUUUCAAAAUAAUAUUGAUGACUGCACACAGUUGAAGACUUUAAACUUAGAAGAUGUUCAAGGUUGAAAGUAAGGUUUUUAAUCUUGACUCAAAUUAUUAAAUUGACGAAAUACAAAAUAUGAUAUUUAAUCAACUUAAAUAAAAUUCAAAUUCUAGAUAAUAAUUAAAUAUUAAUUAUUUAAUAUGUUAAAAAAUAACAUUAUGUUAUAAUUGGUAAUUUAAUGUAUUUUUUUAUUCUUUUAGAAAAUGGCUCAAUUAUAUGAACUAAACUCCUUUGAUAUUUUUUUUUUAUUUUUUCACGAUUUCUUUGAAAUACUAAAUAAUUUUUUAAAUUAAAACACAAAUUUUAUUGCGUGAUAGUAGUCUAAUUACCGACUAAAGGUAAAAUUAUGUUUUAGUAGGGGUGAGCAUUCGGUGGGUUCGGUUUAAAAUCGAAUCGAAUCGAAUAAACUGAAAAUUAAAAUUUUAGUGUUUAUAAAAACCAAACCGAACCGAUUUUUUUUCUGAUCAAAACUGAACCGAAUUGAAAUAAUUAAAAUUUUUAAAAUUAAAAAUCAAACCAAACCGAAAUAUAUAAAAAAUCAAACCAAAAUUUUAAAUCGGUUCAAUUCAAUCGAUUUUUUCAAUUUGAACCAAAAACUGAUCACCCCAUUGAUAAGCCAAUAAUGAUCUAUGUAGGCAUUUUAGUUAUUAAAAUUUUUUAAAUAUAUAAUAAUUAUAAUUUUAGGAAACUAUUUCUAUAUAUAUUUAAUUAUUAUUAAUUUAUUAUUUUACUAUAUAAUAAUUUUAGACCGUUGCUUUGCUUUGCUUGGCUUCGCUAGUAAGUAGUAUCUCUUUUGGUCCUUAAAAAUGACCGUUGUAUAGUAUAAGCUUAAGUUAUUGCAAACCACUCUUUCAAAAAUUAAUUUUUUUUUUUAAAAUUAAAAUCGAGAAUUGAAGAAUUAGAAUACAGAAUUUUCAUAUUUAUUAAGAUAUAUUUACGGUGAGAUUAAAUAUGUGAGCGUAACCUUUUAUAGAUAUAUAAAUUUAGUUUUAGAAAAUAUUUUUUAAUAUUUAAUAGAAUUUAAUAUUUUUAAAGUAGGUAUAAUUAAAAAAAAAAUAAUAAAUUAUUUUAGAAGAGCCGUUGCAAGCUAAUUGUGGGGUCAUUCAAGCAAAGUGAUAAAACAAAAAAUUAAAAAGGUAUUUGGUCGGUUAAUUAAAAUUUUAAGUUAAUGAUGUCACAAAAAGAAAUGCAUACUCUGUUAAUCAUUGUUAAACCAAAUACUUUCCUUCCUCUCUCCCAUAAAUACCCCCACUCUGUACAUCUCUUCACCACACAUUCUCCACUCUCUCUCUCUCUCAGCUCAGCAGCAAAUCAAGAAAAGCUUUGUAAUUCUCCCAUGGCGAAGGACGUUGAAGUUGCAGAGAAUCCCGGCGAGUUCUCAGGCAAGGACUACCAUGACCCACCACCUGCACCGCUGAUCGAUGUGGAGGAGCUUGGUAAAUGGUCUUUUUACAGAGCUCUUAUUGCAGAGUUCAUAGCCACACUUCUCUUUCUUUAUAUCACAGUAUUGACUGUGAUUGGCUACAAGAGCCAAACUGAUCCUGCUAAGAACUCUGAUGCCUGUGGUGGUGUUGGUAUUCUUGGUAUUGCUUGGGCUUUUGGUGGUAUGAUCUUUAUUCUCGUUUACUGCACUGCUGGUAUCUCUGGUACGUUUCUUCUUCUUUUUCUUUCUUUCUUUGUUUGGUUCCCAAGAAAGCUUUUUCCCAUGAACACUUGUUCUUGGUAUACACAGGAGGACACAUAAACCCAGCUGUGACCUUUGGGCUGUUCUUGGCCCGGAAAGUGUCGCUGAUCAGGGCCCUUUUGUACAUGGUGGCUCAGUGCUUGGGUGCAAUCUGUGGGUGUGGUUUAGUGAAGGCUUUUCAAAAGGCUUAUUACAACAGGUAUGGAGGUGGGGCCAAUGAACUGUCAUCUGGGUACAGUAAGGGAACUGGAUUGGGUGCUGAGAUUAUUGGUACUUUUGUUCUUGUCUACACUGUUUUUGCUGCCACUGAUCCUAAAAGAAAUGCAAGAGACUCCCAUGUUCCUGUAAGUAUCUGACUCUCUCAUCACUACAUCAAAUUAAGCUUUUAGUGACAGAAAUUUUAGAGAAGUGAUAAAAUUUCACUACUAAAAUUUUAUUUUGUUGGGAUAUGGGUCAUUUUCUUGCUGACUUGGCUGGUUUUUCUCAUCUCAAAAUCUUGAUUUCUGGGAUCUUUGCUUGCUCCACACUACUGCUAUUACAUUUUUCUAAUACGAAUUUUGUUAGGUUUUUGAUUUGGACAGCAAGCACAAGUCACUAUUUUCUUUUCUUUUUUUUAAAAAAAAAACCCAUCAUUUAUGAAGUGCAUAUUAAUUUUAUAUUUUUUUUUUCCAAUAUAUUUAAGGUAUUGGCACCUCUCCCCAUUGGAUUUGCUGUGUUCAUGGUUCACUUGGCCACUAUUCCAAUUACUGGCACUGGCAUCAACCCUGCAAGGAGUUUUGGAGCUGCUGUUAUUUACAAUAAAGACAAGGCCUGGGAUGAUCAAGUACAAAAUCAACCAAUUUUCACAUUUAUUUUUUUUUAAAUCAAAAUUAUGCUUCUUAUCAUAUAAUUAAGAAAAAAUAAUGAUUUAUUUUAUUAUUAUAUUUUUUUACAGUGGAUCUUCUGGGUUGGACCUUUCAUUGGAGCUGCAAUUGCUGCUUUCUACCACCAAUACAUUCUUAGAGCAGCAGCCAUUAAAGCUCUAGGAUCCUUCAGGAGCAAUGCUUAAUUAAUUAAGUUUUUUUUUUAUUUAAUUUUAUUUGAUGAAAUUUGAAGAAAGAGGGUGAUGAUGCUUAAGAAGAAUAACAAUGGAGGAGGAUGAGUGGUGAAGUUUGUGUCUUUUUAAGGGGUCCUUUCAGUAAUUUCUUUCUCAUUCCCUUUCAAGGGAUUUUAGGAAGAAAUUUGGAAAAGCCCUUGGAAUUGUAAAUAAUAAGGAUUAAUGGUCAAGGGUGUCUUUUCAAUCCUUGUUGUUUUAAUUAUGUCACUGAUGUCUAUCCUUUGAUCCUUAUCUUAUGUUUAUGUUUAUGGUUUUUUUUAAUCUUUUAUCUUUUGGGUGUACUUGUUUAAGCAUAAUUAGUAAUUUGAGUUUUGUUUUUUUUCUCCCUCUUUCUUUAUUAUCAUCAUGAUUUUAUACUUUCAAGAUUAAAGAUUACCCACCGAAGAGUAUAUUAAAAUUGAUGUGAAUUAUUUAUCAGAGAUAAAAUAUGAUAAUACGAGUCUUUUAUUUUUUAAUUAGAAAUUUUAAAUUUAAAUUUCGAAUAUAGAGUAACGUUUAAAAUUUAAGAAAGAAAUGUUUUUAUCUCUUAAUGGGUCGGUCAGACAGAAAUCUUAAUUAGUUAAAUUAAUAAAUUUUAUAUUUUAAAUGAUUUAUAUAAAAAAAAAUUAAUAACAAUUAGUGUUGGAUGUGAUAAUAAAACCCAUUAUACUCUUAAAAAAAUUAUAGAUUCGAUAUGUCAAAGAUAAAUAUUGUUAGAAAAGACACGAUUCUCGAAUUCUGUAAAUUGCAAAAUAAAUACUAUUUAAUAUUCAAAUGAAAAUUUUGGUUUAUGAAAAUAUAAUUUUCAAGAUAUUAAAGCCCAAAAGACAAUUUUAAGUAUUGUUAUUUACAUAUUGCAUGGAUUGUUAAUUCAUUGAUUUAUGGAAAAGAGAGAAAUGCUCAAAUGCUUGCUUAAUCAAGCAUCUAAGCCUACAUAAAAGUAUUUUUCUCUAGUGAGUAGUAGUGGUUUUUAUUGCCAAACCCAAUAAUUAAAAUUUGAAGCAAGACUUCUCUGGUGAGUAGCUAGCCUUGACUCUAAAGGAAUUGUGUCCCCUAGACAGGUGUUGUCAAUUAUUAAGAGAUAAGAGAUGAGGCCAAUUUAGAUAAAAUAAGCAUAUCAUGACAAAAUUAGGUGGCUAAUCUUUUUUAAAAGAUUAGGAUAACUUCCUUUCUUUAUUCUCCAACUUUCUUCUUGUUUCUCUUGUUGCGACCAGCGAAGAUAUUCCAUCGAUUUAAUUUAAAAUUAAAUUAAGUUAAAUAAAUUAAAAAUUAAAAUUUUAGUAUUUAUAAAAAUCGAAUCGAUUUGAAUUAAAAAUUAAAUUAAAUUGAAUUAAUCUGAUUCAGUUCGAUUUAAUUCAAUUUAAUUGAUUUAAAUUUUUAAUAAAUUUUUUAUUUUUUAUACUUUAUUUUUAAUAUUUUAAAAUUUAAUUGAAAUGUUUUAAUAUUAAUAUGAUAUAAUAUCUCUAUAUUAUUAAAAAUAAUAUACUAUUAUCACUAAUCGAUUUAAUUCGAUUUUUUCAAUUUUUUUUAUCAAAAUCAAAUCGAAUCGAAAUAACUGAAAUUUUUAAAAUUAAUAAUUAAACCAAACUAAAAUAAAUAAAAAAUUAAAUUAAAAUUUUAAAUUAAUUCAAUUCCAUUGAUUUUUUCUUUGGAAUCGAAUAUUGAUACUGCAUAAGUGCUAAAUAAUUAUGUUAAGCUUUUAAAAAACAUUAUAAAAAAGAAUUCUAUAAUAAUUAGAAAUACCCUACUUUUGAAAUGAAAAUUAAAGAAAGAAGAAUAAUUUCUUCCUUUUUUUACUCUAUGCUUUAAAGAAAACUCCUUUAUAUUAUAAUAAAUGGAAGGAAAAGAUUAAAAAAAUAUAAUUAUUAUUUUAUUUUUCUCUUAUUAUUAUUAUUAUAGGACAAGUUUCACCACCUCAUAAGACUUCCCAAGCCUCAAAGUUGUGAUAUUUUUAUUAAAAAAAAUAGUGUUGAUCUAAGCAUUCUUAUCCUCAACUUUAUUAAAUAAUUACAAAAUGACUAUUUAUCAAUGCCCAUAAACUAUUAUUAAUUGUACUAGAAAAUGACAACCCAAAAUAAAAAAUAAAAUAAUAAAAAAGAUGAUGUGGGGGUGGCAUUUGUGGUGGUGGUUCAUGGAAAAUUAUCAUGGUGGCUUUGAUUCCUUAGAGUAGCUGUUGAUUAGGGAUUGUUUAACAACAACAAAAAAAGUAAUGGGAGAAUUACUAUGAGAUACCUUACUUUUAAAAAAUUUACUAAUUAUGUUAAUCAACUUAUUUUAGGCUUAGUUAGAGGGGUUAAAUAAUAUAGAAAAAAUUGGAUGUAUGGUGAAUAUUUAGUCGGUUCGGUUCAAAAUCAAAUCGAACUGAAUAAAUUAAAAUUUGAAAUUUUAGUAUUUAUAAAAAUAAAAUCAAAUCGAUUUUGAUUAGAAAUUGAAUCAAAUUGAACCGAUCUUAUUUAAUUCGAUUCGAUUCGAUUUGAUCGGUUUGGAUUUUUAAUAAAUUUUUUAUUUUUUUAUACUUUUUUAAUAUUUUAAUAUUUAAUUGAAAUAUUUUAACUUUGAUAUGAUCUAAUCUCUCUAUAUUAUUAAAAAUAAUAUACUAUUAUCACUAAUCGGUUUGAUUUGAUUUUUUUUAUUAAAAUCAAAUCGAAUAAAAAAAACUGAAAUUUUUAAAAUUAAAAACUGAAUCGAACUGAAAUGAAUAAAAAAUCAAACCGACUUUUCAAAUUAAUUCGGUUCGAUCAAUUUUUUCGAUUUGAACAGAAUACGGCUCACACCUAGUUGAUUGUUAUAAAAUAGAAAAAUUUACUAUUUAAUCUUUAUAUUAUAAAAAAAUUUCAUUAAUUGAUCCUUUGUUUAAUAUAUUAAAAAAGUCUAUUAAUUAGUUUUUCGUUGAUUUUAUUCCUUAAGUAUUAUAAAAAAGUUUAAAAUAUCUUUGAUAUAUAUGGACGUAUUAGUAUAAAUUUUUAUAAACUUUGAAAAAUCAAUUAGUGAGUUUUUUCAAAAUACAUUGUAAAACACUUAAUAAUUAGAAUUAACAUAGAAAAUAAUUAGUAAAUUUUCAAAAUGUUAUGGAUUUAAUAUUUUAAUGUAUUUUUUAAAAUUAAAAAAUUAAUUAAAAUUUUUUAUAAUAUAAAAAUUAAAUAGUGAUUUUUUAAAUAAAAUAUAGAAAUAUUCUAAUUGAGUAAUUUGAAAAUAAUGAUGAAUUAAUAAAUUUUUUAAAAAUGUAGGUAGUUAAUGGUAAUUUACUUUAAAAAAGUGAAAAUAUGUUAGGUGAAUAAACCUUUGAGAUUCCUUCCUUUUUCUAAAAGUGGAUGCUUCUCUUCUCUUUCCUAUAUUAUUAGUUAGGGUUUUAUAGUUUAGGUUAUAUUGUCCUUUAGUUUAUGAAUUUGUGGUUGUAUUUGCAAACCCAAGUAGAUGAAGAGAUGAUGCACAUUUUGGGUUUAAAUUAUAGGGAGACUGAGUUUGUUUCUAUUUGGACUUGUAUAUAUUAGAGCUUCUUAUAUUUGAUUCACCAUGUUUUUGGGUAAUGAGAUCAUCAACUUCAUACAUAUUGUUAGGGGUGAGCAUUCGCUCGGUUCGGUUUAAAAUCAAACCGAAUCGAAUAAACUGAAAACCGAAAUUUUAGUAUUUAUAAAAACUGAACCGAAUCGAUUUUGGUCAGAAACCGAAUUGAACUGAACCGGUCUGAUUCGGUUUGAUUCGGUUCGGUUUGAUCGGUUUUGAUUUUUAAUAAUUUUUUAAUUUUUUUACACUUUAUUUUUAAUAUUUUAAUCUUAAUAUGAUUUAAUUUUUUUAUAUUAUUGAAAAAACAUAUUAUUAUCACUAAUCAAUUCGGUUUGGUUUUUUCGGUUUUUUUCUGAUCAAAAUCGAAUCGAAUCGAAAUAACUAAAAUUUCUGAAAUUAAAAACUGAAUCGAACCGAAAUAUAUAAAAAACCGAACUAAAUUUUCAAAUUAAUUCGAUUCGAUCAAUUUUUUCGGUUUGAACCGAAUACUGCUCAGCCCUACAUAUUGUUUUAUUCCUUAUCACAUGGGGAGGCUACCAGGCAAUUACAAUUAUAAUUCUAAUAUUUAUUUGGUAAAUAUAUAUGUAAUGGAAAAAUAAAAGUUUAAUUUUAAUUUAUUAGUUAGUUUAUUAAUUUAAAAAAUUUAUUAAAACAUUUUUGAAAUAUUAAAAAAUUUACUUAUUAAUUUUUUAUUAAUUUUAAAUUACAGUUUAAUUUUAUAGUAUAAAUAAAAUUUAUUAGUUGAUUUUUUAAUUUUAUAAAAAUUAAAUUAAUUAAUUUUUUAUUUUAAAUUUUUUUAGUAUGUAAUGUCUAAAAUUAACAAGGAAUUAUUUAGUAGAUUUUUAAAUAUUUCAGAAAUAUUUUAAUAUCUUUUUUAAAAUUAAAGAAUUAAUCAAUUUAAAAGAUUAAAUAAUAAUUUUCUCAUUAUAUAUACACGAGAAGAGAGACUGGGCAGAUAAGUUUUAAAUACUAUUUUAUAGAUAAAGGGGUUUUAAUUUAAAAAAAAAAAAAAGAUAAAGGGGUUUGAUUUUUAAAAUUCUUACUUUUAUUUGUAUAUUUUUUAAUUUUUAGAUAAACAGUUUAAUAUUAAUCGAAGAGAAACUCUAAAUACACAUGUAGAGAAGAGGCUUGUCCCAAAACCAAAACAUUUGUUGGGAAUCAAAAUAUUAUUUUGUUAAAAGAAUAUUAUUUAAUUUUUGAAUAAAAUUAUAAGAAUGAUUAAAUUGAACCCUUAAUCAAUUAUUAAUUUUAGAAAUUAAUUACUUUUUUAAAAAAAAUAAAAAUUAAAGAAGUAAAUCUGAGACUCAGAUACUAUUGAUUAACUUUUAAACUUUGUUUUGAAACCAAAAUUAUUGAUAUGGGCUUCUCUUGGACCAACCCAAUUGCCCAAAAUGAGCUCACGAAACAAUCACCGCAUGCACUUAUUAUUUGUUCCUUUCUCUCUGGCUUUCAAAAGAGGGAACCUUUCAUCAAUUAACACAAAUGGGCAACUCUUGUGAUUCAAGAGGUGCAUGUGAAGCCCCAAGAGAUCCAUUAUAAUUACAACAAGAUUCUUGUGUGAUUUCUUAAAAUGGGUUAAUGUGGCCUUCUUUAUUAAAAUAUCCUUCUCAUAUUUAAAAAAUAAAAUAUUAAUUAGUUCCAUCUUAUUAAUUUUUUUUAUAAUAUUUAACGGUUAAAAUUAAUAAAAAAAUUAAUUAAUAAACUUUUUAAAAUAUUAGAGAUAUUUUAAUAUAUAUUUCAAAAUAGAUAGAUUAGCUAAUGAAUUUUCACAUUAAUAUUUUAAUAUUCAGAAAAUAGAAUUUACAGUAGUUGUGUAACUUUGAUAUGAGAAGAAAAUCUUCCUCUCUUUUAUUCUUUCUUUUAUUCUUUUCUUUUUUAUCUGCUAGUCACAUAUAACUGCCUUUUUGCUACAGGGCCACUUAUUUCUGUUGUUUAGAUCCGUACGUAUGGAUAUGUCAGAACUCCUUUCCACGUUAGACAGUCAUUUAAUUCUCUCGGCGUGCAUGCAGACAGAAUUGCGAAGUGACUGGAUCUACUUUCCUACCUCUUGUCACGUCACCAGGCUAAACUUCUUUCAGAUGGGUCCGCGCGUGUAACCUGUCCAGUCUGCUUUUCGUUACCGGACUGGAACUGGUUUGAUUUGAAAAAAUCUGGUGGGUCUUGGGUCUGCAUUUUUCUUUAAAGUUUGAUUGGGUCUUGGGUCUGCAUUUUUCUUUAAAAUAAGGUCAAACAGUCAUAUACAUAAUAUAAAGACUAAAUAAUAAAUUUUGAAUAAGAGCAUGAAGAAUUGCAUGAUUUCAAUAUUACACUAGUGGGAAAGAGAGAGAAGCAUUCAUUUCAUUUUCCAGCAUGCUUUACUUCUAAUUAUUGAUACCCACAUUAUGAAUAUUUUUGCUUAUAUGGGGUUUGCUGCCCCUCCAAGCUAAGAAUAUUUCCCCUUUUAUGUGGGUGAUUAAGCUUGUAUUAUAAGUUAAUUAAACACAAGCAUGCAUGUACUCAAUACCCUUACUUGCAUUUUAACACACAUAAUAGGAAUAUCAUUUUCUACUCAAAUGCCUCCACUGGAAUCCACAUGAUUUUGCCUCUAUUGUUACACAUAUUUUGUGUAUUAUAUGGAGGAAAUGGAUUAACUGAAUCAUGACCCCAACUCAAGUAUAAAGAAAUGAAAUUAUUUUGAAAAGAAUAGUGGAUAUGAAAAAGACUCAUAUUGCCCUUGUAUUUAGACCAGGGCCAUGGUCUUGUUCACGAUUUAAAAAGGGCAAUCUGGGAAGACAAACAAUGUUAUGUAGGAAAAGGCAUAAUCAUUUUGUUCCCAUCUUUCUGCCAACUUUUCACUGCCAAAAAUUGAACUCCAAGCAAUUAGGAUCUUAUAAAUGCCACUCCGAAGCACCCAACAAUUUUCCCUCACAGCUACUGCUAAAAAUUGCUACCAAUACUUCAGCUUCAAAGCUCGUCAAUCUAAUACUCAUAAAGCUAAGGAACUGAACAUGAAUCCCAAAGUUUGUUUCUUUCUCUUCUCUUUUUUAGCACUUGUGUUUGCUGCAAGAGCUCAAGAGAGAGCUCCUCAUGGCCUAGCCUUUGAGAAUCCUGUGGCGUUUUCACCUUCAGCAGUUGAGUUUUUCCAUCCCAAAACACAACAGCCCAACACUAAGAAACCUUGUGAAGAAUCAUCUGGUUGCUCACCAUUGCCUCUAGCAGCUGAAGUAGAGGCUAUUCAAACACAGGAAAGUGAAGCUUCAUCAUCUCAGAAAGUUGGGAGUCGACUAGGAGCCAGUGGCAUUGCCGCAAUUGUGGUCGGUUUGGCAUUUGCGGUGCUUAUAGCAACCGGAGGUUUCUAUGUGUUCAGCACACGUCGAGCCAAUAUGAAUCGAGACAGCUCCAUUAAACCUGAUGCUUAAUGGGAUUACUACAGUAGGCUUGAUUAUUUUGACAGACUUUUCUCCCUUUUACCUUCUGCUGUAUUAUGUCUUGCCAAUAGUUCUCUUAUUCCUUAUUAUCUAAUGUGUUCUAAUUUUUUUUUUUUUAACAAAAGUUUGAAAUGCGUCUAUGGUUUCACAAGUGGUCAAAUCCUAUCCUUAAAAUUGAGUCACUAUGAAUCCAUUGUUCAAUUUUUGAAGUUCGCCAAGUAAUUUAGCGUUUUCAAGAUCACUUGCCAUGGAAUUUUUGGUGAUAAGUUGCGAUCAUUGGUCGAUGAAUCCAUUGGAGUUAUUGAUAUUUUAUAGUUGAGUUUUUCUCAAUCAAACAAGUCCGGGAUUUAAAUCACUUGCCUAUGAAGUGUUUUUCAUCAGUUAUCAAGGCGGCACUCGUGCAUAAUCUAGUUGAAUUUUAUCCACUUGAAGCUGACUUUACUCAUUCCAUUCAAAAUCAUGCUUGGAAUAAAUCGUUUUUUGUCUUUACAUGUUGCCUCCAAAAAUCCAACAGCAAUGGCUUUAUUCCCGUUGGAAUUUACAAGAGAGUUUCAUUAUUAGGAUUGAAAUGAAAAGGAUUUUUUUUUUUUUUUUUUUUUUNNNNNNNNNNNNNNNNNNNNNNNNNUAACCCAAGUAACAUUACAACCCUUGUUAUGAUCAUUGCAUUAUUGCAAUAACUAAAUUAAUUAGCAUUCACUAAAGCUUGGUGAACCCUUUUGGGUCCUCUCUGAGCCUUGCAGUAAGUGGGUCCAAAACUCGUCUCUAGAUGAAUAUGAAUACUACAAAGCUGAGUAUGCCAAAAUUGGACAUCUUUGCAAGAGGAAUGUGGAAAUCUAAGAUGACUGUUCUCAUAGUGGCACCUUGCUUCGCGAAGAGCGAUGCUAUUUGGGUGAAUACUAGGGAAUAGAGAAUUGUGCAAAGCCAAAUUGGGACGAGCCUAAAUGUUCACUUUAACUGGAACUGUGGAGAUGCGAAGCUAAUUGGCAUUGAAAGGGUGGAAUCCUAGAGGUAUGAUGAUUAGGUUGAGGGAGGGAAAAAAUUGGAAGAAGGAGGGAGAAGAGUGUAGAUAGAUCAAGCAAGAAAGAUCCAUUUCAGUACAAUUAGGAACUAAUUUUCCCUGCAAUUUUAAUUUGAUACAGAAUUCUCAGGUGUUAAAGGACACCUGUCCCGCAAAUAUGAUUUAGGAAGAACAAGCUGUCAAAAUAUUGAUAUGCACAUGCUAUUGCAUGCACAAAUUUCUGUUAAAGAUAUUCUUACAUCUAUAGUGGAACUACUACAAAAUCUUUACUGCCUGCGUGAAUUAAGAGAAGCAACCGCAGGUUUAAAUGUCUCAUCCACAGCUUUGUUCCACUGAAGUUCAAAUUGUGAACGAAAUUGCUUUCCACAUAUGGGCUCUCUCAACUGGAAGAAGUUCAAAGUUUAAAGUAUUAGUGUACGUCAUGCCAUGCACAGCAGAAUCAUGAAUUAACAGCUCAUUGCAAUUUGAAGAUCAAUAGUGAAGUUUUAUGGUUUCCAGAAGGAUGUCUAAACUGCUGAUAAAGUCAACAAUGAAAUUAUUAACUGUAUGUUUAAAAUUGAUAUGAUUGAUGAAAGACUCGAUGGUUUCCAGCACUGUGCCUAAAACUGACACUAAAAGUUGACAUCACACAAGUAGAAAAUAUAUGAAGCAGGAACAACAAAAGCCCAUUGAAAUACCAAAAGUAAAGGUUGCCAACAUAAUUUAAUCAAAUGAAGAAAAAACAUCUCUUUUUUAGACAUAAAGGUUCCAAUUAUCUCUUUCCUUCUCAUUGUUAACAAACACAGAAGAAGACUAUAGUUUGAAGUUCUUUUUGAAGAUAAGGAGCUUAAGUCCUCUUUUUUUUAGCUUUCUCAUGUUUUGUUAAACUUGAUAAUAAGUCUCAUAACAUGAGUUCUCAAUCUUACUUCUGCCUGUUUUUUCCCCAAAUCCUUUUUAUCUACCUGAGUUCCUUUUCUUUCUCUCAACUGAUAUUGAUAACCCCCAUUCUUCACUUGCUAGGGAGCCACCCCUUGACACCAUUUUUGCUACUGGCCUCACUUUAGCUAGCUCAUUCUUACCUCAAGAUUCUGAAAAUAACUACAAGAAACAAGUAAACAUGGUCCAGCUCACUAAAGGCAAAUUAUUUUGCCAGAAAUUUCUGAUUGUUCACAAAAUCAUCAUAAGGGUUGAGUUGGACAUCUUCGUAUUAAAGAUCAUGGAAGCAAUCAAACUACCUUCGCAAUAAGUUUCUCCGUCUAACUUAUGUAAAAGUAAGAUUUUUUGGAUUUUAGUCAAUUACAUUUAGAGUGUAAUUUAACUUCAAUAAAUAUUGAACUUGAGCAUUUAUGUAUGAACCAUGCCAUAAAAGAUAAAACAAACUGACUCGAUCGGACAUAUCAACAACCAAAAUGCAUCUUAUACAAGCCACUUUCCACUGUACACAAUGCCUGUUGAGAUAGUCAGUUUUGAUAAUUUAUCUCAACAGGCAUUUAUGUAUGAACCAGGCCGUAAAACAAACCAGACUCAAUUGUACAAAUCAACUACCAAAAGGUGCAUCUUAAACUAGCACUUUCCAGUGUACACAAUGCCUGUUGAGAUAAGUCAGUUCAGAUAAUUUAUCUCAACAGGCACUAUAAUGCAAAACGGUGUUAUUUUGGACAUCAAAUUUCAACCCACUAAUCUGUUGCAACCUUUGUCACAAGGACUACUUCAUCUUUUGUUUAGAGACUGAUCCAACUAAUUUUACAAAAGAAUGCUUUGAUAGCACCAUUGAUCAUUAAUGUAGGACAACAAUUUCACUGUUUUGCUGACACACAAGCACGCAAAACAAUUUCCCAAAACAAGUGACUAUUCUGGCAAAAUUUAGAUUAACAAAAAAAAUGUAAACGCAAAUAAUGUUGUAACUAAAGAUACUCAAGGUUCUGGCCAAAAAAAAAAAGGAUACUGAAGGAUUAACCACACAUCGAUACACCAAAUUCUAGGGUUUCAAAGCGCGCCGGGGGGGGGGGGGGACGAUAAUUGAGAAAGGGGCAGAUAAUGGGAGCUGAACCUGAGAUUGGGCAUCCAAUUGAUUACGGUCCGCAGAAAUGGAUUCAUAGAUGCGUUUCCUUUGCUCAAAAACAACAACACCCACGAAGGCACUCCCCAGAACAGCACCAAGCAGACGCUCCUGACAAAUGGAAACAGAAAAUUAACAAUUUAAUAAUUAUCAUAAAUUUUUUUCAUAUAAAGGCAGUGAAGCAUCAGCAGCCAUAUGAAGAAGGGGGGACGAUAAUUGAUAAAGGGGCAGAUAAUGGGAGCUGAACCUGAGAUUGGGCAUCCAAUUGAUUACGGUCCGCAGAAAUGGAUUCAUAGAUGCGUUUCCUUUGCUCAAAAACAACAACACCCACGAAGGCACUCCCCAGAACAGCACCAAGCAGACGCUCCUGACAAAUGGAAACAGAAAAUUAACAAUUUAAUAAUUAUCAUAAAUUUUUUUCAUAUAAAGGCAGUGAAGCAUCAGCAGCCAUAUGAAGAAGAAGAAAUUAAAAUAAUACACAGAAGAAUGGAUGGUUACUUGUGCAAGAAUGCUAAUCAUGAUAUUUUAUUGGUGGAUUUGGAGAAUUUAGGCUGAAUUGGAAUUUGGAAAGAAUGUAAAAAGACGAGAGAAGCAGUUCUUCAAAAUUGAAAAUAAGUAAAUCAGAGUUGAGGUCUACAGUAAUGAAGCCAAGGUACAGUCCUGAUUUGCAGAUGGGCUUUUUGGAUCCAUGUCCAAUUUAAAAGAGCAUUGUAUUACAAUUGGCUCUGGCCUCACUGAAUUCUUUGUUUGGGUUCAAGUUGUAUUGCACACUUCUCCAUUCAAAUUUUAAAUUUUAAAAUGAAUAAUUAUUUUAUUAUUUAAAUGAUUUUAAAUUAAUAAAUUAUUUAUAUAUCAUCUAAAAUAAUUUUAGAUAUUUAUUAUUUAAAAUUAAUCUAUAUUUAAAUUUUUUAUUUAUGAAUUUAAUUAAUUUUAUUUGAUGAUUAUUAAAAAUUAAUAAUUUUAGUAAUAUUUAAAUUAAAUUUUUUGAGAUAAAAUCAUUAAAAUAAUAAAUUUAAAUAUUAAUUAAAAAUAUUAAAAUAAUUAUCAUCAUAUCGUAUUAUUAUAUUUAAAUUGUUAAUUUUUUGAGUUUAAUUAAUUUUAUUUGUUAAUUAAUUAAUAUUUAAAUAUAUUUUAGUAAUUAUUAUCUUAAAUUUUUAACUUUUGAUGUAUUUUAUACAUUUAAAAUUUUAUAUUUUUUAAUAUAUCUACCAUUAAAUUUAUAGAUUUUGAUUCAUAUAUAUAUGAAUCAAAAAAUUAAAAUUUUUAGAUAUGAUUAUUGAAAUAAUAAAUUUAAAUAUUAUUUAAAAAUAUUAAAAAUAACAUUAUAAUAUUAAAAUAUUGGAUAAUAAAUUCAAAUUUAAAAUAUAAAAAUUGUAAGAUAUAUGAAAUAAUUAUCACAAAUUAAUGAUUUAGAAAAAUAAGAUAGUAAAAUGAUUACCUUAAUUUUAAAUAUUAGUAAUUUUAUUAUUAUCUAGAUACUUAAAAAUUUCAAAAAAUAUUUAAAAGAAUAAUUUAUUAUCUAUUUUUUUUUUUAAAUUAUGUUCUUGAUCACAUUAUACAUAUAUUGAACCAGGAGGAAUUGAAUAAGACUCUAAUCUCAUAUAUUUAAAUAAAAAUUAUUAAUUAGUUUUUAUGAAAAAAAAUUCUCCAAUUAAUUUUUUAAAUUUAAAAAAUUAUUAAGAUAUUGUGAGUAUUUUAAAAAAUAUACUAAUUAAUUUUUAUAUUAAUUUUAUUAUUAAAUAUUUUAUUAUUUAGUCAUUAUAAUUUUAAAAAAUUUAUUAAUUAAUGUCUUGUAUUUUUAAAGAGAAUAUUUUAAAUUUUUUUAUAAUAUUUAACAGUUAAAAUUAAUAGAUAUUAAUUAUUAUUUAAGUGAAAAAUAAUUUUAUUAUUUAAACUAAUUAAAAGUUAAUAAAAUUUAAAUUUUAUAUAUAUUUAAAUUUAUAAGCGGAUGGUAAUUUUAUAAUUGAAAUUAACUUUUAAAAUAGAUAAUAAUUUUAUUAUUUAAAUUAAUUUAUCAUUAACAAAAAUUCAAAUUUUGAAUUUUAUAUUAAUCAUAAAAAUUAAAUUUAUAGCAUAAAAUUAUUAAAAUAAUAAAUUUAAAUAUUAAAUAAUAUUAAACAAUAAAAAGUGACUAUAAAAUUAUUAAAUAAUUAUAAUUAUAUUAUAUAUAUUAUAUAUAAUUCGCAAUAUUAUAACGAAUAUUAAACGUCUAAUUAUAUAUAAAAGUCCAAUAAUAUUAAUUAAGAUUUUUAAAUAUGAAUAAUUAUUAUUCUUUUAAAUGAGAAUAUUUUUCAAAAAUUGCUUAUUUAUUCAUUUAAAUAGAAAAAAAAUAUUUUUCCUUGAUAGCUUACCAUAUUUGGAAAUAAAAAUAAUGAGACUAUAAAGAGUAUAAAUUCAUAUAAAAUAUUAAAUAUUUAUAUGUAGAUUCACUAUAUAUUUUUUAAUUAACUAUACACAAAUUUUAAUAUAAAAUAUUUUUUUCAACUAAUAGUUAUUAUCAUAUGAGGUGGUGCUGAUAUUAGAUUUUACUAAAAAAAUAUAAAAUUUAUUUUUUUCACAAAGUAAAUAAAGCUUAGACGUACAAUAUUUUUUCUUUAAUUUUGUUAAAUAAUGACAUUUAUAAUUUAACAGUUAGAUUUUUCAGUGGCGCAGUUAAACGACGUCGUUCCGCAGCUGAUUUCCAGUUCCCGGUCCUUGAACUUCUCAUUUCUGUUUCUUCUAUAAACCCCUGCAACUACGACGAGAUCCCACUGUCACUCCGUUUUUUGCUAAAUUCACAGGAGCAACAAUGUUGCCUCGCUCCAUUAUCUUCUUCUCUCUCAUCACUCUCCUCCUCUUCUCUAAACUCUCUCCAUCUCUCUCCAAGACUCAAAACGACAAGGUUGAAGACGACGACGAUCUCAGCUUCCUCGACGAUGAAAAUGAUAAAAACGGCGCCUCCUCUCACGACGUCCGUUACCCCGGUUUUCACCAGUUUGAGGGAUAUGAAAUUGAUGGCGACGACUUUGAUGACUAUUCUGAUUUCGACGAUUCAGAGAAGGAGCCUGAAAUUGACGACACGGACGUCGUCGUUUUGAAGGAAAGGAAUUUCAGUGGUUUUAUUGAUAAGCUUAAGUUUGUUAUGGUGGAAUUUUACUCGCCGUGGUGUGCUCACUGUCAGGCGCUGGCUCCUGAGUAUGCGGAGGCAGCUGCGGAGCUGAAGGAAGAGGGCGUGGUGUUGGCGAAAGUGGAUGCUACUGAGGAGACUGAGUUGGCGCUGGAGUAUGAUAUUCAAGGGUAUCCUACUAUCUACUUCUUCAUUG
rnacentral:lncRNA from 1 species